AUGUUAUUUAAUAUUACAAAAAAUAUACAAUUAAGUUAUUUAUUUAUUUAAUUAAUUUUAGAUAAUAUUAACAAAAGUUUCAACAUCUGUUUAGAAAAAAAGGAGAGAGAGUAUAAGUUAGAGAGAGAGAGCAUAAUUAAAAAAAUAGAAAGAAAAAUAUAGUCGAAACUAGAGGGAGUGAGAGAGUUGAAAUUUUAGAAAGAGAGAGAGAGAAAGCUUAGCUUAGAGAGAGAAAAAAAAGUUGAAUUUUAGAGAGAAAAAAGUUUAGAGAGAGAAAUAAGGUUAGAGUGUAAAGAAAAAUAAUAUCAAUUAGCCGGCGGGUAAGAAGAAAGAAAGAGAUUAGACAUAUUAUGAUUAUCCCAAUCCAUUAAUAUGAGGAUACCCACCCUCCCUCAAGGGAAUGAGAUUAGUACUUUGGGGUGAAUCUUAUUCCCAAGUGAAUCUAAUAUUACCAACUAGAUUACUUAGUGCGUUUAGCCAAACACCGUCAUAUUUUUUUAUUCCCAUUGGAUUACUAGGAAUCUUUAAAAGAUAGCGCGAACCAAACGCACCCUUAAUUUUUCACAAUUUCUUGGUUUUAGGCGAAUAAACUGAAAGUUGUACUAAUUCUAUUGAAAAGUUCAUCAAAUUUGGUAAUUUUAAUUACUUUGUAGUAAAUGAAACUUAAUUAAUAUAUACCUGCUGAUAGCUGAAUUUAAAACUAGAAUGCAUAUCUGCAACCACAUCUAGAGUUUAAUAUCUAAGCCAUCUUUGAUUUCGGUUAAGAUAGAAUUUCACCAGCGAGAAAAGAAAAUGUUUUUAUGCUUCGUCUAGACCCUUGAAUUUAUAAGUGAACGUUCAAUGAGAUUAGGAAAGCGUUUUUCUGCUUCUUCUAAACCCUUGAAUUUAUAAGUAAACGUUCAAUGAGAUUAGGCUAUAUCUUAUAGUAUUAUGCUGGAAUACUUUUAAAAGCACACGGCAUUCAUUUUCAUUUCUUAAACGUCUAUGGCUUAAUUACUAUUUGGUGGUUGUACUUUUAUAGGUUUUAGGGUUAAAAACUUAUAAGUACAUGAAUAAUACGUGCUUUUAAAAAUAUUGUAGCUCAACUUAUAUCUCAUAUGCCCGUAUAUCUAAAGUAGUAACUAAAGAGUAAACAGAAUAAGUGAAUUUUAAUCCAAAAUCGAAUGAAACAUCACAACAAUUUAGACACUGAAUAUAGACAACAUGAAUCACACUAAUGUGGGCCCGAAGGAUAAUGCUUAAUAUAAAAAUAAUAUUCGGGAUGAACAAAAAUUAAUUCCCAUUAACAUUGUGGAAAAGGAUAUAAAGCAGAAGAGCCAAGUCCAUCCCAUUAGUAUUUAACAAAAAUAAAGUUGAUAACUUUACUAAGUGGCUAGCCCUUUUAGUAAGUGCUUGACCCAACGUCAAACACUAAAAGAAUUUAUUUUCUCUUAUUUGAAUUCAAAUAUAAAAAGUAAAAAAAAUAAAAGUGGUUAGAAAUUGGCAAUUUACAGUGAUACUAUAUUUGCUCCGAUACCAGUUUGUUAUAAAAAGAACAGAAAAGAUCUAACUCAUCGCGUGUGAAAAUUAAAUAGCAAAAAAAAAUUGAGAAAGUGAGAAGUAAAAUAAAAUACAUAAAUAUUUACAUGAUUCGAGACACAUACGGAGUGAAGAUUUUCAUUAUAAUCAAAAGGCCUUACAAAAAAUACUUCUCACCGCGAUAUGUAGAAUGCAAUAGAUAAUGCAUAUAUAAAAAUUGGGACUCAAAAUACAAACAACGUGAGUCAUAUAUACUAAUAUGGGUAAUAGAUAACACAUGUAUAAAAAAUAAUUUUUUGAUAGACCGAUAAUAGUAAGUGAUGCUCGUGGAAAAGCAGGCAUAAAGGCCCAAGUCAAUUCUAAGUGUGGCAAAGAAAUUAAAGAGGCAAAACUUUCGUUAUUUAGUGGAGGACUCCAAGUCACAAGGCCCAAGGAUUUUUUUUAAAUAAAGGAUAAAGUGUAUCAAGUUAGCCCAUGUGGUUUCACAUUUUCUCACUUUAGUAUCUUGUAAUUUAAAGCGUAUCAAGUAAGUACCCUGUGGUUUCAUUUUUCUCUUUUUAUUAUCUAUUUUACUAAUUUUUUCGUUAAAUCAGUGACGAAGUUAAAACUAAAGGGUACUAAAGUAAUUAUUCGAUAAACCUAGAUAGGAUAUAUGAAGUUUUUUGUAUAUAAUUUAACAAAAUAUUAACGGAGGAAAAAAAAAUCAGUGACAAAGUUAAAAGUAAAAAAUACUAAAGUAAAUAUUCGAUAAACCCAGGUAGGGUAUCUAAAGUUUAUGCAAUAAUUUAACGAAAUAUCAACAGAGAAGCGGACGGAAAAAAGAAAAUGAAACCACAUGGAGGGUAUUAAAUUGAUGCACUUUAAAUCACAAGGUACUAAAAUGAGAAAGUGUGAAAUCACAAGGUACUAAAUUAAUACACUUUAAAUCACAAGGUACUAAAAGGACAAAAUGCGAAACCAUAUAGGUGGUAUUUGAAAUUUUCCCAAAAAAAAAACAAAAACAAAACAUUCUUUUUUUUUUUUCCUUUUGGAUAAAAGGAAAUUUUACUUAUACAUUCUAAUAAUAAAAUGUAAAUCUUACACCCUCUAUUCCAAGGCUUCUAGAAAUUUAAAUAAUUUUUAGUAAAAAAAAUAAAUAAUUGAAGUGAUAAGUAAAAGUUAAUGGUGUUUGGAUAGAAAAAGUAUAAAAUAUACAUCCCAUCGAACUCAGGACCUCCGGGUUUAAUAUCAUGUUAAAUAUACAAAAUAAUCAUUAUUCUUUAAACGCUUAAGUUGCACGAGAACGAUAUUUUUAAUAAUUAUAUUCAACAGGAGUGUACCAGCUGCAUUGCUUUUGGAUAAAUUAUAGUUUUAGUCUUAAAACUAUAAGGCUCGUAAUAUUUUGGUACUUAAUUUUUAGUUUGUUAUAAUUUUAAAUUUGAACUUUUUAAAUUAUUAUAAUCAAAAUCUAUAAUCUAAUCUAAUUGACUAAAUAUUGAUAAAUUAUUGAUAUAAAAAUUUUAGUUAUAAAAUUAUUGGGAUAUAAAAUUUAUACUCUUUUUGAAUUGCAUAGAUAGCAUUAAGCCAUAUUUAGCAACAGCGCGUACGAUUAACCUUCUCACAAGACAGGUGGACCGGAAACUCCAAACUGAAUACUAUUACCGGUCCUAUUUUUUUCUUUUUUUUUUUGUUGCCAAAAAGUCCUUUUUAAAAUAAAUAUUUUACCUAUAAUCACACCUAAUUAAUUUUGUUCAGCUGUUUAAAGCGAUCGAUGUAGUAACUUUCCGUUAGAAAUAUGUUGAGGAAAAAUAAGUUUUAUCUUUUCUACUUUUUUAUGCAAUGUAAAAGUGUUCUAUUUGAUAUUGUUAUUUUUAUAUGGACUACUGGAGAUUUUGUCGUGACAGAUAAUACGUACAGACGAUGUUGCCAAGCAGGCUUAAAAAUUUACAAAUAUUUAAUCAAGAUUAAUAAGAUAAAUUCAUAUUAAAAAGAUGACAAAAAAGGAUUGAUAUUAUUAAUCUUAAAUGAAAUAUUACAUUAUAAAGAAGAAAUUUCACCCUAUAGAUAUAAUCACGGGCUAAGAGCCUUUCUGAUGGUGAGAGAUGUCAAUGGUUAUUGGGCCAAAAGGAGUUAGAUGAAAGCAUAUAGGUACGGAGUACGCUUCUCCAUUUUUCAGUAGAGUUAUAGAAAUUAUCUCUUGAUCAUGUAUUUAUUCAAAUAUACUAGUAGUAUUGCUUUGUAAUAGAAAGUGUACAAAUAUAUCACGAUCCCCACAACUAUACGCUAUUUUGAGAUAGAUUCUUAACUAUAUUUUAAUAUCCAAUUUUUCUGACUUUUAAUUUAUUUUAAUUAAAUAAUUUUAAUUAAUUAAGAUAAAAUUUUUUAAAUUGCAGCCAAUAAUUCUAUUAAAUGUAAUAUUGAAAACUUAUUAGUAAAUAAAAUUAAAAUAAUUAAUAGAAUUAUUAAUUUAAAAAUUAUUAUUUAAUAAGAAUAUAUAUAUAUCAAAAGUAUAUAGCUGAGGUAGCCAUUUCAAAAUUUUUUAUAGUUGAGGGGGUAAUUAAGUCGGCACUGUAAGAUUCUACAAUUGCCUAGUCUAGCAGGGCCAACAGAGAAAGUCGCGUCUUCUAUUGCCGACUUCAUGUAUCAAAUUGUAACACAAAUGCUUUCCACCGCUCAUCACGAGAACCACAUCCAAAUUACUCAUUUUAAUGCAUUAAAAAGUUAGCUCCUCAGCGUGCUAUUCACUCUUUAUACUGUUCUAAAAAGCCCCAGGGUUCUUAUUGUGUCUUGUUUAAAAAGUUUUUCUAUAUAUAUAUAUAUAUAUAUAUAUAUAUAUAACUGUUAUGGUACAUCUCAAGAUUAUACUUUAGAGGAAAGAAAUUUCUUUUGUAAUAAUUAGCUGUGUCCUUAAUCUUUAGCUAGCUCAACGCCUACCAUGUAAAAGGGUUUUGUUACAUGUAUGGGAAGACUAUAUACUAGAUUUAUUUGAGAUUAAGGUUUCUAAGAAAAGACUCUUUUUUGGUUUUUACUUUAUUCAAAAUACAAUUUUUGAUCCAUUUUCGUUUAUAAAGAUAGGUCUGUGGCCAAAUAUAUGAUGUAAAAUAUUUAUGCACUAUAUUUUUCUCUCUCUGUUUUAAUUAUCUUUUUUUUUUUUUUUAUUUUUUAUGCAUAAGAAAUUUGGGUUGUUGGGCUUUUCUUGCGAUAGCAAUUAAUUUUUUUUUUUUUGAGUGAACAGGGAUAAACCCUAUUUUAGAGUGCGAUAGCAAUUAAAUAGUAGACCAUUGUUUUCUGAAACUUAUUUUUAUAAUGAAACAGUUCUCUUUCUCUUCUAACUUUUAUUCUAUCAUACCGACUGUUUUCAAUACAAGUGAUAAAGAGCUUUAUGGUUGGUACCCGAUGUCCCUGUUGGGAACCGGAUGGAUCGUCCGUCAUGUGCUACCAACAAAGAUGCACGAAAAAAAGAGAAAAUCGACCGAACGGUAAAAGAAAUAAAUGCAGAAAGAAGAAACCAAGAUUUACGUGGUUCGGCAAUCGCCUACGUCCACGGGGAGAGCGAGAGAGAUGUAUUCCACUAUAUGAAGAAAUAGAAGUACAAGCUUACACCUUAUGUCUUCUCCGGAUAAAAAAAUCAAGAACCUUAUGGUGAAUCCCACCUUUCUUGUUCCAACGAAAACUCCAAGAAAAUACCGAAAAAGCUUUUCGUAAAACCGAGAAGACCAAAUUAGAGAAGUAUAGAAACUCUAACCAAAUUCCUUUAUGCCGUUGCUUCGAAGAAUCCGAACCGCUCAGGCAAUUGGUCGAGAACCGCCGCUCCGCCGCCGACCUCAAUCCGCCACAUGCGAGCAAACCUCUCUUCUUUAACCGUACGGACGGGGCACCUUUAAUUAAUUAGCUAGGCACCGAAUGCUAAUUAAUUGGGCCUCCACACCAUGCACCCACGAAGCCGUACAUCCCUCUAUUAGAGCCGGACACCUUUAAUUAAUUAGCGUCUCUAAUUAAUUUUGGCCACCACUCGACACCCUUGCCGUACAUGCAUAUGCAUGUAUAUAUAGAGAGGGAUUUGGCUCAAUCCUACUCUAAUUCAAUAUGAUUAUUGAAUAUAGAGUAUUAUAUGGAAACCAAUCCUAGUCCACCUAGGAUUCCAAUUUAAAUUAGGAUCCACCAAAAUAAAUCCUUAUGAGAUCCUUUUUAUUUUCCCAUAAAUCCGGUGUAUGAACCAAACCAAAAAAGAAGGCAUAUCUUUAACAGUCCCAAAUUUGAAUUUUAGUUGAUUCACAUUUUCAGCUAAGUUUAUUUUAAACAAAGUGGAUAGCAUGCUGCCUUUCUCUCAAAAAAAAAACUCUUAUUCUGUCAUAUGCAACUUUUAAAUCUUUGUAUUACAAGGUUAGUAAAUUAAUUCCUCACAAUACUCUUAUUAUACGAGAAGGGACGAUUUGUUCUUUUCUUUUUAAGCAUAAAUUAAUUAGCAAGCAGGAAUAUAAUGAGAACAUAAAAAGGGGUAAUGCAUGCAACACUACCCACUUUCUCAAAACCAGCAUUUCACAUUAAUACUCAAAGAAAAAAAAAAAUCUCCCAUGAAGUAGAAAUUAUUAUUAAGCAAACCCUAUAUACAGGAGAAUCUUGUGAAAUUAUAAGAAAAGCAAGAAACACACCAUACAUAAAAGAUAAAUUGUAGAAAUCAGACUUCAUCCGUGCAUUUUUCUGUUCAACCUUCUCAAACUUAUUACUAUCAUCACAUAUAAUUUGUCGUAAAGCCUAUCAAUCGUUUGAAAAUAGAUGCUACUCCAAGACUCCUUGAAUAUUAAGAUACCGCACACACUCCAGAAUCCAGCCACGAACCCUAAGCCAAUGCUGAGGUAUGGCCAUGUUGACUUAGAUCCAUCAGGGUAGUCGUUCCCAACAUCAUUAGGCAUUGUUUCAUUUUCAGUACAAUUCUUCCCCGUGGGAGGUCCACAAAGAUAAGUGUUGCCAAUAUAAAUUGAAGGGUUAUUGAGUGUGCUCAAUUGAUUUCCUGUUGGAAUCCUUCCAGAUAAAUUGUUGUAAGAUAAAUUCAGGUAGUUCAAAAAUGUCAAAGCCGACAAGCUUUGUGGAAUGGCACCUUGAAGCUCAUUUAGUGAGAGGUCCAGUGAUUCUAGAGAGCGCAUGUCACCUAACCUUUCCGGAAUCAUUCCAGUUAGAUGAUUUCCCGAUAAAUUCAAACUAUGCAAUAUCGCAAGUGCAACUAUCUCUUCUGGGAUUUGACCGCUUAAAUUAUUUUCCGAGAGGUCCAUAAUCUUGAGAAGAUAAAUGGUGGUAGAAUAUUGAUACUCUUCUCCAUGUAUUACCACAAGCAAGUUAUUACUGUAGUCAAAAUAUGUAAAGGUCCUCUCGUCAACAGAAAAUCCUUUUCCAUCAUAACUGUGAAUUGUAGGAUAGAUCAUCGCGCUGAAAUUACCAAAAGAGCGUGGCAUUGAUCCUGUCAAAUUGUUAUGCGCAAGAUCCAAGAAUUGGAGGUAAGCGAGUUGUCCAAGUUCCGAAGGAAUUUCUCCCACAAAUAUAUUUGACCUCAACUGCAAUAUUACUAGAUCCUGCAAGUUUUCACCUAUCCAUCUUGGGAUUUCUCCUGUGAGUUUGUUGUUGCUAAGGUCAAGGAAAAGUAAAUUAUUGCAAUGCUGCAGUUCCAAAGGAAGUUCUCCAUAAAAAGUGUUAUUGUUGAGGUGCAAUAAUGUGAGCGAGCUCAGUGAACCAAUUGAAGAAGGAAUUUUGCCGGCAAGAUUGUUGUUUGAAAAAUCCAAGACUAAAAGGGCUGAAUUGUUCCAGCAUUGAGGGAGCUCUCCUGAUAAAGAGUUGUUUGAUAGGUCCAGCACUUCUAGAUAUUUUAGUUUACAUAUAUAAGAUGGGAUACUACCGUUAAUCUGAUUGCUUGAUAGUAACAAAGAACUUAAUUGCAGCAUAUUCGAGAUUGGUGAGAGGAAGGGUCCUGAUAUAGAAUUUUCUGAGAGAUCUAAUAUUACAAGCGUGUUUGGCAAAGAUGGAAUUGGGCCUUCAAGUUUGUUAGACCCCAAAAUAAGCUCAUCUAGGAUUGUAAAUUGCAAGGACAUGGGCAACUUGCCUCUAAUCUGAUUAUGAGAGAGGUCUACGAUACUACAAUAUAGUGAAUUCCAAAACCAUUCGGGAAUAGUGUCUGUGAUCCCUGUGUUGGACAGAUUUAGAGAGACAAUUUGCAUUUGCCAUCGAAGCCAUGCUGGAAAUAGAGGCUGCGAAAAUUGACAAGAAUCUAAAGCAAGAGAUACAAGUUGAAACGGAGGAAUCCACUUGUUAUCCACGUCAAUGAUCAAAGAAUUUGAGCCUAGGCUCAAGUACUUCAAGUUUGAUAGGUUGGCAAAAUGAGCUUCAGAUAUGACACCUUGCAAGGAAUUAUAAGAGAGGUCUAACCAUAGCAAAUUUGAGAGUCUCCCAAUUCCACUAGGAAUAGGCCCUGCUAGUGAAUUAUUGCUGAGAUCAAGAGUAUCUAGAUUCUUAAUCUCCUCUAGCCAUCCAAAUAAACUCCCAUGAAGCUUGCUAUUUUCUAAAGUUAGUUCCUCCAUAUUCUUCCAUGAGCAAAGCGUCCUUACAACCUCUGCAAUAUCUCCACCGAUGCCCAGACCGCUCAAGUCUAUAGCUCGCAGAUUGCACAAAUUUUUAAUUGGUCUAGGUAUGGUACUUUCAGAAUCAAAGUCAUUCAUUCCUAAAUACAGACUGUUGAGAGAAGUUAUGUUUCCAAGAGAGUCUGGGAUCGUCCCAUGAAAUCCAGAAUUUCUGAGAUCGAGAUAGGAAAGCUUGGUAAGAUUCCACAGCCAAGUUGGCAGGGUGGUAUUAAAGGGGCCAUUAUCACUAAUAUCAAGAGAUUCUAGAUAUGUAAAGUUGACAUGAGAAAGAGAUGUUGGAAUAUUAGUAAGCUGGCAUGAUGAUAAAUAUAAUUCUUGUAGAAAGUGCAACGUGUUUACUACUUCUAACCAAUCUGUAGCAUUGGAUAGGUUUAGCAUGCUUAAAUCAAGAACCCUAAUAGAAGACAACCGAGAGAGCCAUGAAAGGUCACCAACGCAAGGGUUGUGGGAAGCAAAAGCCUCACCCAAACGCAGAGUAUGCAGUCGAGAGAGAUUACUGAUCUGAAGAGGGGAUUUACAAGUGAAGAGUGAACCAGAGAGGUCAAGAUAGCGAAGAUUAGAUAGGUUGCCUAGUUGCACAGGUAUUUCACCACUGAAAUUAGAAUUAGAGAGAUCAAGAUGCAUCAAGCUUUUUAACGAACCGAUAAAUUUCGGGAUAGAGAUUCCACCAAAAUCAUUCCAACUAAGAUCGAGGCGACUUAAAUGACUUAAAACAAGUAAAGAUGGAUUGAUCUCACCGCGCAGGGCACAAUCGAAUGAAUUGGCAUCGCAGUUAUAAUUGUUUCGAAGGUUGAGCUUCACAACGUGGCCGGUGUUGUUGUCGCAAACUACUCCCUUCCAAGUGCUACAACAAUCCCGACCGGCCCACGAAGACAAUCGACCGCCGGUAUCAAUAAUACCAGCUUUGAAGGCAAGGAGUGCCUCCCUUUCGAUCUCGAAGCACCCGCUUGUUAGGAUACAAUGAUGGCCUAAAAGCCAUACACUGAGAAGAAGUGCUAGCACACGGUAUUGCAUGGUUGUGGCCCUCGAUCGUGACCAGUAUAUUUUACAGCUCUACACAAUGGCAGUGACUGCUUUAUAUAGAUCCGUGCGCAAAACACACGUGUACUUAUUAGGUCUCUCUCUAGUUAAUUGGGACCAUUGGGAGGAAAAUGAAUACGGCCGGCGUAUAGAAGAAGCUAAUUAUAGACCCCAAGUCAAUGAUGUGAGGAAUAAUGUUUACGCAUUAUUAGCUGCAAUAGUUGCACUUGUUUGAAAAUUCAAAACUAACUUGAUAACGAUUGUACGUAAAAAUUCAUGAAUUUUAAAAUUUUGCCAUAUUGGCCGCAAGUAGUACUCUAAGAUUCGACCACGCACGAAGGGAUUUUGUUGUUUGAUCUAGAAGAAACAAGUAUCUAAUAACUUUUGAAUUCCUAUAUAUAUAUAUAUAUAUAUAUAUAUACACACACACACACACACAACUCUUUUAAUUUUGUAGAAUACAUUAAAUAAUUAGAUUUUGAUUUUAAAGUAACUAAGAUUGAGUUUUUGAAGUGCCGCAUGAUAUACGCUAGGUGCAGUAAUAAUUUCUUGUGACGAUGAGGCCCGUAAAAGUAGUAAUUUUAUAUAAAUAAUAGUUAUUGCUAACAGUUCAUUGACAGAAUUUAAUUUUAAGUAUAUAUUUGAAAUAUAUUGGAACGUAAAUAUCAAUAAUAGCCUUCUAAAAGAGGUAAAUUAGAGAGUCAGAAACUUUCCAGAGAUAUAUAACCAAUUGCCCCCAUAUUAUACAUGUAUUUAUUGGUUCUACGGUCUGCUAGCUACUACAUCCCUUCACUUUGUGCAUCUCUCUCUCUAUACACAGUCCUUUAGGGCCUCUACAUCUAAUUAACUAUUUCUACAACAAAAAUUAAAAAACAGUACCCCAAAAGGCCUAAGAAAUAUAUAUAAGAUGAAAUUAAUUUUGGGACCCAUUCGGAGGAAAAUGAAUAUAGCCUAUAUAUAGCACAGGCCAAAUUAAGACCCCAAGUCAAUGAUGUGGGAUCGUUGAUGCAUUAAUGUUAGCUGUAAUUAAUCCACUUGUCUUAAAAUUCAAAACUAAUCCAAUAGACGAAACGUACAACAUCUAAAAAGAUUAUACGUAAAAAAAAAAAAAAAAACAUGAAUGUUAAAAUUUUGUCAUCUUGGCGGAAAAAAGUCUAAAAUUCACACGGUGGGAUUUUGUUAUUUGAUCUUGGAGAAAUAGGUAUUUAAUAACUUUUGAAUUCUAAUAAAUGAUGCUUUUAAUUUUGUAGAAUAUAUUAAAUAAUUUGAUUUUGAUUUGAAAGCAACUAUGAUUGAGUUUUAGAAGUGCCGCAUGCUAUAUGCUAAGUGCAGCAAUAAUUUUUUGUCACAAUAAAAACCGAAAAAACAGUAGACAAUAGGCUAUCCAUAUGCGACUGUCAAAGGAUGUUUUGCAAACAAAUGCUAUGAAAAACGAAAAAAAAGAUCAGAUUCGACCCACUAGGCUCUAUUUUUCACAUAUCUGAUCGGUUAAUGUCGGGCUGAAUCAGAUCGAAAUAACUAAUAAUAAGAGCCGCGAGAGACUAAGAGCCGCGAGAGACCAAGCUAGGCUUGAGUCUUCAAUUCUUUUAGUUGGUCCGAGAUCAAGUCUAAGAUAAUCCUUGCAUAACCCGAUCUGGUCCGGCCUGAUAUUAUUUUUUUUCUCUAAAUUGGCCUUGAACUUCAAACACUUAAAAUUAAUUACUAAGUUUGAAUUUUUGGGACAUGUCAUUUGUGUGGAAAACUAAUUAUUCGUUCAAUCAGCCACAACUAGUUUAGACAAAUUGGAACAUUCAAACUAAAUUUUCCGCAUAGAAAAUAUUGACUAAAUAUUCAUAUAUGAAACCUUGACUAUCUAUCUAUCUAUCUAUCUAUUAGCAAUAUAUGAAUCCUCGUUCCAUCAAUGCCACGUGGCGGAGAAAGGGAGUGGGAGGCGGAGAAGAGGUGGGAGGCGGAGGCGGUGGUGAUGGGGUGGGGUGGGGGUGGGGGUUGGUGUGGGUGUGGGUCCCAACCAAAUGGGGUUUGGGGCCCAGCCCAGUAUUUUCUUAUACUUUAUUUUAAUUAUUUUCUCUUCAAUAAUUUGAAUUGAGAGAAUUUGAUUUUUUAUAAUCCAAUCAAAUUUUUAAAUAAUUUAGAUUAUACGUAUUAAAUAUAAAUAUAAUUAAAAAUAAAAAGAGAGUUUGAUGGAGUUUAAAGUAAUACUUAUUUUAAUAAAUUUAGUUCCGAAAAUUAUAUGAAGUAUAUUAACUAAAUUUAUAAAGCCAAACGUUGCAUUCAAAUUUUGAAGUUAAAGUAUUAUUAACUGACUAAAAUCAAAUGUAGAAAGGUUAGAUAAUUAAAGCAAAAUUUUGAAAGAUUAAGUAGUUGUGUUGACUUUGAUUUUAAUUUCAAACUUCAAUGUCAUAUUUAUAUUCUGAUGAAUGAUUAACUUCAUAUUUAAAAUUUUUUGAAAUAUUCAAAUAUGGUUGGACCCUAAACCCUAAAAUUAAAAUAUAAAAAAAUAAAUUACGCAUUUUGUCUCAAAUUAUAAGAUGUGUGACAUCUUAGUCCUUACAUUUCUCUUAUGCUUUUUGUCUUCUUCCGUUAUUUUAGCUAAAUUUAUUUAUUUUCUUUAAAUAUAUUAUUGCUUUUUUUUUAUAUUUAUAAUUUUAUAAAAUUAUCUAAUUAAUAAUAAAUUGUUUCAAAACAUACCCGUAGUUCUAGCAAAUCAAAAGGCCUCAAUUGAUGUUAAAGUUGAGGGGGCAGUUCCAAGCUAUAGCCAAUAGCUGAGGGGCCCUUUACAAUUUCUCCAAAAAAAAAAAAAAAAAAAAAAAAAAAAAAAAAAAAAAAAAAAAAAAAACCUUAUGGAAGGUAAUAAUAGCCUCACGAGGUUUGCUGCGCGAGGUCUAACAAGCGCGUGCAUAAAUUGUCAUAAAGUCGGCAGCGUAGGAUCUGUCGUCUCCGACUUAGCCAAAUAAACAGAAAACGCUACUCUUUUCUGCGCCGACUUUAUGUAACUAAGGAUUGCUGCAGAUCCGUGAUGGGUGUUUCGCUGCCGGUUAUUUGAGGUCAAGUUCAUAUCUGGCACCGACCGUCCUAGCGCAAGCGGCAGGUCCUAAGUUCGAAUUCUAAUUGAUUCAUAUUUUCAGCUAAAUUUAUUUCUAAAAAUGAAAUAAACGAAGCGGAUAGCGUGCUAUCUAUCUCUCUUAAAAAAGAAAAAAAAAAAAACAAGAUUGAAACAAAAUAAUUGUCUCGUUGAGACAAAUAAAUUUUUUUUUUUUGAGAGAUAGGUAGCACGUUAUCCGCUUCGUUUAUUUUAUUUAGAAAUAAACUUAGCUGGAAAUAUGAAUCAACGAGGAUUCAAACUUGGGUCUCAGAUACCAACCAUCAAGCUCUUUUGCCAUUUGCGCUAGAAACGGUCGGUUUGAAACAAAUAAUUGAUAGGUAAAAAUGAACUGAGCACCCCUCAUUUGCAAGCGAUUUUGAAAUGGGCCCCUCAACUUCAAGCUUACUUUUUGGUGGAGACCACCAUAACUAUAAGGGCUUGUUUAGUUCAUCUAUUUUUGGUAUGGAAUAGAAAUCGGUUUGAUUACAUCUGGUUAAUUUUGUUAGGUUCAUAUAAAUCGGUUUGAAAUUCCUAUUCCGGACCGGAAUGGGAAUGGCCCAUUAGCCUUCAACUUGAUUCCGGUCUUCUAGCCCAGAUUGAGAUUUCAUUCCGAAAGCCCACUAAAUUUUCGAAGCCCAUGUGACCAUCUCACCCUCCUUCUCUUCACCCCUUUCUCAUCAAAAAAAAAAAAAAAAAAACCUAUCAUCUCUCAAAACCCUAUUUCUAACCCACAUCAAUAAAAGUUUUUAAAAAUAAAAUUGAUAUUUUUUUUGAAAAACUUAUUAGAGAAUAAUAUUAUAUUUUUCAUAAAUUUUAAAUAAUAUAAAUUUAUAUUUGAAAGUAAAAUUAGUAUUAUAAUAUCCUAUAAUUUUUUUNAUUAGAGAAUAAUAUUAUAUUUUUCAUAAAUUUUAAAUAAUAUAAAUUUAUAUUUGAAAGUAAAAUUAGUAUUAUAAUAUCCUAUAAUUUUUUUAGUUUAUACGAACCAAAUAAUAAAAUGUGAAUAAUCCAUUCCAAUUUCCAAUCCACAAAUAAACCAAACAUCUUGGGGGAGUGGGCCAUUCCAAUUAUCAUUCCAAUUUAUUCCCAUUUUACUAUCCAUUCUAAUUCCACCCUUGAACUAAACAAGCCCUAAAUCUUUAGAAAUUAAGUGAUUUUUGUUUAAAGUAAAAAAUUAGAGCAUUCAGCAAAUUAAUUGAUGAGUUCAUCAAACGCAAAAAGUUUUAGUAAUUUUUCGACAAAUAAAUUGAAAUAAUUAACGAUUAAUGGCUGAUAGAACUAUAAAAUUUCACAAAAUUUUUAACUAAAAUGAUUAAAAUUUUCAAAAUUAAAAGUUAAGAAGGUCUUAAUCAAAAAGGUUGAAGUUGACGCGCUCUUGUCAAUGAGGGUCUCCAUGCAUUUUAACCUAACGUUUAGGCUAAAUCACAAAAAGUCCCCCAACAAUUUAAUUAGACCAUAUUUUAUUUAUUUUUUUGUAUUAAAAAUUACAUUAAGUCUAAAGUGCAAGAGGUUCUUCCGUAAUUUAACUUUAAUUUUUAUGAAGGUAUGUUUCACGUACGUUGUCUUACUUGGAAAGUGCACAAGUUUGAAUUGAUAAUGUUAUUUUUAUAUGAAAUAAUUAUUAUAAAUACCGAAUAACACGUUGAACCAGUAGAGCUGGAACAAUUGUUAUUUCUCUACAGGCCAUUUUAAAAUGGCCCCCUUUUUCCUUCGUUCAACCUUCUUAACUUUAAUUUUUCAGACACAAUUUCAUGGUUCUAGGCGAAAAAACUGGAAGUUGUACUAAUUCUAUUGAAUAAGUUUCAUCAAAUUUGCGGUAUUUUAAUUAUCUUUGUUAGUAAUAAAAACUAAAUUAAUAAUAUACCUGCGUGAUAGCUGAAAUUUAAAGCCUAGGAUGCAUACUGAACGCCAUCUAGAGUUUAAUAUCUAAGCCAUCUUUGAUUUCGGGUUAAGAUAGAAUUUUCACGACGCGAGAAAAGAAAACAGUUUUUAUUGCUUCGUCUAAACCCUUCGUUUAUAAGUAAAACAUUCAAUAAGAUUAGGCUUAUAUCUCUAUAGUAAUAUGCUGGUAAUACUUGUUUUAAAUAGCCAGCAGGCAGUUCAUUUUAUUUCUUAAACGUCUAGGCAUUAAAUACUUGGUGGUUUACUUUUAUAGAUGUUUAGGGCUUAAAAUUAUAAGUACAGUGAAUAAUACUGCUUUUACAAAUAUUAUAGCUCAACUUAUAUCUCAUAUGACCCUAUACGNNNNNNNNNNNNNNNNNNNNNNNNNNNNNNNNNNNNNNNNNNNNNNNNNNNNNNNNNNNNNNNNNNNNNNNNNNNNNNNNNNNNNNNNNNNNNNNNNNNNNNNNNNNNNNNNNNNNNNNNNNNNNNNNNNNNNNNNNNNNNNNNNNNNNNNNNNNNNNNNNNNNNNNNNNNNNNNNNNNNNNNNNNNNNNNNNNNNNNNNNNNNNNNNNNNNNNNNNNNNNNNNNNNNNNNNNNNNNNNNNNNNNNNNNNNNNNNNNNNNNNNNNNNNNNNNNNNNNNNNNNNNNNNNNNNNNNNNNNNNNNNNNNNNNNNNNNNNNNNNNNNNNNNNNNNNNNNNNNNNNNNNNNNNNNNNNNNNNNNNNNNNNNNNNNNNNNNNNNNNNNNNNNNNNNNNNNNNNNNNNNNNNNNNNNNNNNNNNNNNNNNNNNNNNNNNNNNNNNNNNNNNNNNNNNNNNNNNNNNNNNNNNNNNNNNNNNNNNNNNNNNNNNNNNNNNNNNNNNNNNNNNNNNNNNNNNNNNNNNNNNNNNNNNNNNNNNNNNNNNNNNNNNNNNNNNNNNNNNNNNNNNNNNNNNNNNNNNNNNNNNNNNNNNNNNNNNNNNNNNNNNNNNNNNNNNNNNNNNNNNNNNNNNNNNNNNNNNNNNNNNNNNNNNNNNNNNNNNNNNNNNNNNNNNNNNNNNNNNNNNNNNNNNNNNNNNNNNNNNNNNNNNNNNNNNNNNNNNNNNNNNNNNNNNNNNNNNNNNNNNNNNNNNNNNNNNNNNNNNNNNNNNNNNNNNNNNNNNNNNNNNNNNNNNNNNNNNNNNNNNNNNNNNNNNNNNNNNNNNNNNNNNNNNNNNNNNNNNNNNNNNNNNNNNNNNNNNNNNNNNNNNNNNNNNNNNNNNNNNNNNNNNNNNNNNNNNNNNNNNNNNNNNNNNNNNNNNNNNNNNNNNNNNNNNNNNNNNNNNNNNNNNNNNNNNNNNNNNNNNNNNNNNNNNNNNNNNNNNNNNNNNNNNNNNNNNNNNNNNNNNNNNNNNNNNNNNNNNNNNNNNNNNNNNNNNNNNNNNNNNNNNNNNNNNNNNNNNNNNNNNNNNNNNNNNNNNNNNNNNNNNNNNNNNNNNNNNNNNNNNNNNNNNNNNNNNNNNNNNNNNNNNNNNNNNNNNNNNNNNNNNNNNNNNNNNNNNNNNNNNNNNNNNNNNNNNNNNNNNNNNNNNNNNNNNNNNNNNNNNNNNNNNNNNNNNNNNNNNNNNNNNNNNNNNNNNNNNNNNNNNNNNNNNNNNNNNNNNNNNNNNNNNNNNNNNNNNNNNNNNNNNNNNNNNNNNNNNNNNNNNNNNNNNNNNNNNNNNNNNNNNNNNNNNNNNNNNNNNNNNNNNNNNNNNNNNNNNNNNNNNNNNNNNNNNNNNNNNNNNNNNNNNNNNNNNNNNNNNNNNNNNNNNNNNNNNNNNNNNNNNNNNNNNNNNNNNNNNNNNNNNNNNNNNNNNNNNNNNNNNNNNNNNNNNNNNNNNNNNNNNNNNNNNNNNNNNNNNNNNNNNNNNNNNNNNNNNNNNNNNNNNNNNNNNNNNNNNNNNNNNNNNNNNNNNNNNNNNNNNNNNNNNNNNNNNNNNNNNNNNNNNNNNNNNNNNNNNNNNNNNNNNNNNNNNNNNNNNNNNNNNNNNNNNNNNNNNNNNNNNNNNNNNNNNNNNNNNNNNNNNNNNNNNNNNNNNNNNNNNNNNNNNNNNNNNNNNNNNNNNNNNNNNNNNNNNNNNNNNNNNNNNNNNNNNNNNNNNNNNNNNNNNNNNNNNNNNNNNNNNNNNNNNNNNNNNNNNNNNNNNNNNNNNNNNNNNNNNNNNNNNNNNNNNNNNNNNNNNNNNNNNNNNNNNNNNNNNNNNNNNNNNNNNNNNNNNNNNNNNNNNNNNNNNNNNNNNNNNGCGGGGUCGGGCUGUUCUUCUUUCUUGCAGUGUGUAAUGGUGCACCAUACCUUAAUGGUACUUAGCACCAUUAAUGGUAUGUAAUUUCACCAUUACCACUAUUAAUGGUGUAAUUACACAUUACACCGAUUAAUGGGUGAUAAUGGUGUGCACCGCAUUAAUGGUGUAAUGAGGUGCACCAUUACACCAUUACGAAGAAGAAGAAGCCGCGUGCACCGCGUACCCGCCCGCUGCCGCCGCGUGCCCGCCCGCCGCCGCCGCGUGCACCGGCCCUGCCGCCGACCCGGCCCCUAGCCGCGCUCGUGGUGUUCGACGAAUCGCCCACUUCAGGGGCUUCCUGAUCCCGCGCUUCCUUGGCUUCUCCAGCAGCGACAAGGGAAUUCUCUCUUCGCGUGCGCACGGAGUGCAGCCCCCUCGGCAUGAGGCUUCGGACGAGGUCGAGAGCCGCGUUCGGGGAGUGGGGAGCGGGGCGAGGGAGCCCGGCGCGGUCGCACCAGCUGAGGAUAGCGUUCCUAAUAGCGACGUUGGGGAUGAGGAGGGGAGAGGCGGAGGCGGAGAUGGAGAGGUUGAGGGCGUGGGAGAGGCACGGAGGGGUGAAGGCGAGGUCGAGGCACGUGUGGACGCAGCUCCGCUCGCGAUCGGCCGUCGCAGGCACAGCGUCACCACCGACGAGUCGCGCACUCCGACCUGCGCCGACUCUGCUCCUUCGGCGGCCGGAGGCCCCCACUGUUGGCCGCCUUCCGUGCGGAUCGGGAGAGGGAGGCGGACGCGGCGUCCCUGGGGAAAAGAAAGAAAAAAAGAACGAGAAAAAAAAAGAGGAGAGAGAAAAACGUAUAAAAGUAUUUUGGUCAGUUUGCUGAAAAAGUGGACCGAAUCUGCAAAAAAGAAAAAGGUGGCCCGAUUUUGCAAAAGUCUAAAAUAAGUGGAUUUUUUAUGCAAAAAAGCCAUACUAAUAUGGGUAAUAGAUAACACAUGUAUAAAAAAUAAUUUUUUGAAAGACCGAUAAUAGUAAGUAAUGCUCGUGGAAAAGCAGGCAUAAAGGCCCAAGUCAAUUCUAAGUGUGGCAAAGAAAUUAAAGAGGCAAAACUUUCGUUAUUUAGUGGAGGACUCCAAGUCACAAGGCCCAAGGAUUUUUUUUAAAUAAAGGAUAAAGUGUAUCAAGUUAGCCCCUGUGGUUUCACAUUUUCUCACUUUAGUAUCCUGUAAUUUAAAGCGUAUCAAGUUAGUACCCUGUGGUUUCGCAAUUUCUCACUUUAGUACCUUAUGGUUUAAAGUGUAUUAAGUUAGUACCCUAUGGUUUCACAUUUUCUCACUUCAGUAUUCUGUAAUUUAAAGCGUAUCAAGUUAGUACCCUGUGAUUUCAUUUUUCUUUUUUUAUUAUCUAUUUUACUAAUUUUUUUCAUUAAAUCAGUGACAAAGUUAAAACUAAAAAGUACUAAAGUAAUUAUUCGAUAAACUUAGAUAGGAUAUUUGAAGUUUUUUUGUAUAUAAUUUAACGAAAUAUUAAUGGAGGAAAAAAAUCAGUGACAAAGUUAAAACUAAAAAGAAAAAUGAAAUAAAAAAGAGAUCUAGGAUGGUGUCAAUGUGUACAUCCUUUUUUGGUAUUAAGAUUUCUAUUAGUUGUUGCUUACUCUUUUGUUAUCAUUGUUGCUUAAUUUCUAUGAAAUAUGUGACGUACUUUUAAGAAUCAACCUAGCAUUGAAAAUCUGUCUAACCGGCCAAGGGUAGGUAUUCGCACAUAGCAUGAUUUACCGUCAUUGUUGUUAUAUUUUUUAUCGACAUCGUAAGUAAUGUUACCUACAAAUGCAUAUUACUCUAUUAGUGAUGCUAGUUUGAACUUAGUAAUGUAAGCUAGUUUGAGAAAUUACUUGUUUUAUGAAUUCAUCAGCAAAUCCGGAGGAGCUAUAAGCAGGAAGAUGGUUUUGACAUUUUACCUUUCAUUGUUGUUGUUAUCGCUAUUUCCUUUUCUUUUACAAUUGAGCUAUUUUUCAUUUAUCUUUUGGGAUUGAUCUAUUUUGUAGGCUCAGAUCGCAACUCUNAAAUCAGUGACAAAGUUAAAACUAAAAAGUACUAAAGUAAAUAUUUGAUAAACCUAGAUAGGGUAUCUAAAGUUUAUGCAAUAAUUUAACGAAAUAUCAACAGAGAGGCCGACGGAAAAAAGAAAAUGAAACCACAAAGUAUUAAAUUGAUGCACUUUAAAUCACAUGGUACUAAAAUGAGAAAGUGCGAAAUCACAAGGUACUAAAUUAAUAUACUUUAAAUCACAUGGUACUAAAAUGACAAAAUGCGAAACCAUAUGGGUGGUAUUUGAAAUUUUCCCAAAAAAAAAAUAAAAACAAAAACAUUCUUUUUUUUUUUUUUCCUUUUGGAUAAAAGGAAAUUUUACNUCAUUAUAACGUUAACUCCAGUUUAUACAAACACCCACUUUAAGGAAGUCUUGAACCUGCUGAACGAAUGGAGGUUAAGAACCUAGAACGCGUAUUGUUAAACUGUCCUAGUUAUGGUGCGAGAAAACCAUUAAAGUCGCGCUACUAGAUAGUAUGUUAAGUGUCAAUACUACCUUUUCCUAAAAGACAACUGCUCUCCUGGAAAUGUAUAAAACUGAUGUCAUUAUUGAACGAACACCAUUAUGUACCUCUUCUCAUAGUUAUAAGAUGGUGGUAAAUAGAAGAGUUCUAAUACCUGGAGAGCCUUUUAUUAAAUUCGCCAGUUUAGGGUCUUCUCUAUCAACGUGAACGCUAUAACGCAUCAAACUUAAAUAGCCCUUUAGUAGAUUGACCUUACUAAGGCCUUUCCAAUCCACUGUACGCGAGAGAUCUUAGUGACCUGGAGAGUGAUUUACUCGAAGUUCCACGGUAAGGUGUUUCGAACAGUCGAAACUGUAAAAACUUGAUGGACUUAAAUAGAAUAUUAUUAAAUAGACCUUCUUAAGGUUGUCCUUUAGUUAACUCGUGUGAGCUAUUGGGAAGUUAAAUAUAACCGUUGUGAAUAGAAACACCUGGAGGGUGCCCCUUCUUAACAUGACUUUUACUUUGUUACGGAUUACUACAACCCUUGCUGAUGGGACUACCUAGAUUCAGUUGUACCGGUAUGGAGUCGUAACCGAAUCCCAAGCACCGACCUAAGACCUCACACACGCCAUAGAAUUAUAAGUUCCUCAGAACCUCAUCGUAGAUAAAAGUUUACUAACUAUCCGAAAUGCUGUUUAAUAUACACUACUAUCAUUAUUCAAACUCUUCCAACUUAUCUUUUUACGUGCCUACUUCAGACUAAAGAUAUUAAAUAGAAAUACAUACCACACAAAGAACAAAAAGAAUAUUAAAGUGUUCUAAGAGGACAUAUAUCCCAAACGAAUUAUUAUUAAAGAUGAAGUACCCUCUAAAAAAAAAAAAGAAACUCAUAAUUACACUUUACGACCAAAACUCUUUCACCCAUCACAACGUACGUAAUGGAGAAAAAUACAAGAGUAAUAUAAGGACGAACGAUUAAUUAAAUACGAAUUUUUCUUUUCUUGUUUAGCAGGGAAGAGCAUAUUAUUCUCAUAACACUCCUUAAUUAAAUGAUUGGAAAGAUCCUGCAGGUUUUCACCUAUCCAUCUUGGGAUUUUCCCUGUGAGUUUGUUGUUGCUAAGGUCAAGGAACAAUAAAUUAUUGCAAUGCUGCAGUUCCAAAGGAAGUUCUCCAUAAAAAGUGUUAUUGUUGAGGUGCAAUAAUGUGAGCGAGCUCAGCGAACCAAUUGAAGGAGGAAUUUCGCCGGCAAGAUUGUUGUUCGACAAAUCCAAAACUUGAAGGGAUGAAUUCUUCCAGCAUUGAGGGAGUUCUCCUGCUAGAGAGUUGUUUGAUAGGGCCAGAACUCUUAGAUAUUUUAGUUUACAUAUAUCAGAUGGGAUACUACCGUUGAUCUGAUUGCUUGAUAGUAACAAAUCACUUAAUUGCAGCAUAUUCGAGAUUGGUGAGAGGAAGGGUCCUGAUAUAGAAUUUUCUGAGAGAUCUAACAUUACAAGCGUGUUUGGCAAAGAUGGAAUUGAGCCUUCAAGUCUGUUAGACCCCAAAAUAAGAUAUUCUAGGCUUGUAAAUUGCAAGGACAUGGGCAACUUGCCUCUAAUCUGAUUAUGAGAGAGAUCUACGGAGGAAAAUGACAAAUUCCAAAACCAUUCAGGAAUACUAUCUGCAAUGCUAGUGUUGGACAGAGAUAGUUCAUCAAGUUGCAUUUGCGAUUGAAGCCACGCUGGAAAUUGAGGAUGCAAAAAUUGACAAGAAUGUAAAUAGAUAGACCAAAGUUGAAACGGGGGAAUCCAAUUUUGAUCCACAUCAAUGAUCAAAGAAUUUGAGUCUAGGCUCAAGGAAUCCAACUUUGAUAGGUUGGCAAAAUGAGCUUCAGAUAUGACACCCUGCAAGAAAUUAGAAGAAAGAUCCAAAAUUUGCAAAUUUGAGAGUCUCCCAAUUCCAGGAGGAAUAGACCCUGCUAGUAAAUUAGAAGAGAGAUCCAAUACUUGCAAAUUUGAGAGUCUGCCAAUUCCAGUAGGAACAGGCCCUGCUAGUGAAUUAUUGCUGAGAUCAAGAAAGCUUAGAUUCUUCAUCUCCUCUACCCAGCUAGAUAAAUUUCCAUGAAGCUUGCUAUUUUCUAAAGUUAGUUCCUCCAUAUUCUUCCAUGAGCAAAGCGUCCUUACAACCUCUGCAAUAUCUCCACCGAUGCCCAGACCGCUCAAGUCUAUAGCUCGCAGAUUGCACAAAUUUUUAAUUGGUCUAGGUAUGGUACUUUCAGAAUCGAAGUCAUUCAUUCCUAAAUACAGACUGUUGAGAGAAGUUAUGUUUCCAAGUGAGUCCGGGAUCUUCCCGUGAAAUCCAGAAUAUCUGAGAUCGAGAUAGGAAAGCUUGGUAAGAUUCCACAGCCAAGUUGGCAGGGUGGUAUUAAAGGGGCCAUUAUCACGAAUAUCAAGGACUUUCAGGGAUGUAAAGUUGACAUGAGAAAGAGAUGUUGGAAUAUUAGUAAGCUGGCAUGACGAUAAAUAUAAUUCUUGUAGAAAGUGCAACGUGUUUACUACUUCUAACCAAUCUGUAGCAUUGGAUAGGUUUAGGUCGCUUAAAUCAAGAACCCUAAUAGAAGACAACCGAGAGAGCCAUGAAAGGUCGUUGAGACAAGUGCCGUCGAAACCAAAAGCGUCACUCAAAUGCAGAGUAUGCAGCCGAGAGAGAUUAUUGAUCUGAAGAGGGGUUUUACAAGUGAAGAGCGAACUAGAGAGGUCAAUAUAACGAAGAUUAGAUAGGUUGCCAAGUUGCUCAGGUAUCUCACCCCCGAAAUUAGAACCGGAGAGAUCAAGAUGCAUCAAGCUUUUUAACGAACCGAUAAAUUUCGGGAUAGAGAUUCCACCAAAAUCAUUCCCACUAAGAUCAAGGCGACUUAAAUGACUUAGAACAAGUAAAGAUGAAUUGAUCUCACCGCGCAGGGAAUAAUCCGACCGGUUGGAAUAACUCAUAUAGUUGUUUCGAAGGUUGAGCUUCACAACGUGGCCGGUGUUGUUGUCGCAAACUACUCCCUUCCAAGUGCUACAACAAUCUUGACCGGCCCAUGAAGACAAUCGACCGCCAGUAUCAAUAAUACCAGCUUUGAAGGUAAGGAGUGCCUCCCUUUCGAUCUCGAAGCACCCGCUUGUUAGGAUACAAUGAUGGCCUAAAAGCCAUACACUGAGAAGAAGUGCUAGCACACGGUAUUGCAUGGUUGUGGUCCUCGAUCGUGACCAGUAUAUUUUACAGCUCUACACAAUGGCAGUGGCUACUUAUAUAGAUCCAUGCGCAAAACACACGUGUAUUUAUUGGGUCUCUCUCUAGCUAGUUGGGACCCAUUGGGAGGAAAAUGAAUACAGCGUAUAGAAGAAGCUAAAGACCCCAAGUCAAUGAUGUGAGAAAUAACGUUUACGCGUUAUUAGCUGUAAUAGUUGCACUUGUUUGAAAAUUCAAAACUAAUUUGAUAACGCUUGUACGUAAAAAUUCAUGAAUUUUAAUAUUUUGCCAUAUUGGCCGCAAGUAGUAGUCUAAGAUUCGACAAUGCGCGAAGGGAUUUUGUUGUUUGAUCUAGAAAAAACAAGUAUAUAUCUAAUAACUUUUGAAUUCCUAUAUAUAUAUAUAUAUAUAUAUAUAUAUAUAUAUAUAUAUAUAUAUAUAUAUAUAUAUAUAUAUAUANUGUAAAAAUAAUAAUUUUCUAUAGAUAACAGCUAUUUCUAAUAAUUUAUUAACAGAAUUUAACUCUAGAGCUAUAUUUGGAAUAGAUUGGAACGUAAAAAUUUUUUUUUCAAUAAUAAUUUUUUAAAUGGACUAAAUUAAAAAUUCGGAAACUUUUCAAAUGUACAUGAGCAAUUGCCCCCAUAUUAUAUGUAUAUUUAUUGGUGCUACGGUCGACUAGCUACUACAUCCCUUCACUUUGCGCAUCUCUCUCUGUAUACGUACACAGUCCUUUACGUCUACAUCUAAUUAACUAUUUCUACAACAAAUUAAAUUAAAAAACCAGUACCCCAAAAGGCCUAAAAAAUAUAUAUAAGAUGAAAUUUUGGGUGAACUUGUGGGUAUGAGAAGCAUUAAUUAAUGAGGAAACGAGUAAUUUUAGCGCGCGAGAGAACCAACUAUAUAGUUGGGACCCAUCAUUAGGAGGAAUAAUGAAUAUAAUAUAGCGUGUGUAUAUAGCAGAGGCUAAAUUAAGACCCUACUAGUCAAUGAUGGGGGAUCACCGAUGCAUUAAUGUUUGUUGUAAUUAAUCCACUUGUCUUAAAAUUCAAAACUAAUCCCGUAGACGUAACGUACAACAUCUAAAACGAUUAUACGUAAAAAAAACGUGAAUUUUAAAAUUUUGUCAUCUUGGCGGAAAAAAGUCUAAAAUUCACAUGGUGCGAUUUUGUUAUUUGAUCUAGAAGAAAUACAUAUUUUUAAUAACCUUUGAAUUCUAAUAAAUGAUGUUUUUAAUUUUGUAGAAUAUUUUAAAUAAUUUGAUUUUGAUUUGAAAGCAACUAUAAUUGAGUUUUAGAAGUGCCGCAUGCUAUAUGCUAUGUGCAGUAAUAAUUUUUUGUCACAAUAAAAGACUGAAAAAAUAGUAGACAAUAGACUAUUCAUAUGCGACUACCAAAGGGUAUUUUGCGCAAACAAAUGCUAUGAAAACAGAAAAUAAAAAUCAGAUUCGACCCACUAGGCCCUAUUUUUCACAUAUCUGAUUGGUUUAUGCCGGACUGAACCAGAUCGAAAUAACUAAUAAUAAGAGCCGCGAGAGACCAAGCUAGGCUUGAGUCUUCAAUUCUUUUAGUUGGUCCGAGAUCAAGUCUGAGAUAAUCCUUGCAUAACCCGAUCUGGUCCGGCCUGAUAUUAUUUUUUUUCUCUAAAUUGGCCUUGAACUUCAGACACUUAAAAUUAAUUACUAAGUUUGAAUUUUUGGGACAUGUCAUUUGUGUGGAAAACUAAUUAUUCGUUCAAUGAGCCACAACUAGUUUAGACAAAUUGGAACAUUCAAACUAAAUUUUCUGCAUAGGAAAUAUUGACUAAAUAUUCAUAUAUGAAACCUUGACUAUCUAUCUAUCUAUUAGCAAUAUAUGAAUCCUCGUUCCAUCAAUGCCACGUGGCGGAGAAAGGGAGUGGGAGGCGGAUGUGGUGGUGAUGGGGUGGGUUGGGGGUAGAGGUGGGUGUGGGCCCCAACCAAAUGGGGUAGAGGUGGGUGUGGGCCCCAACCACGUGGCGGAGAAAGCGUGCAUGAAUUGUCAUAAAGUCGGCAGCGUAGGAUCUGUCGUCACCGACUUAGCCAAAUAAACAGAAAACGCUACUCUUUUCUGCGCCGACUUUAUGUAACUAAGGCUUGUUGCAGAUCCGUGAUGGGUGUUUCGCUGCCGGUUAUUUGAGGUCAAGUUCGUAUCUGGCACCGACCGUCCUAGCGCAAGCGGCAGGUACUAAGUUCGAAUUCUAAUUGAUUCAUGUAGAACGCAGCGGAAAUAUUGGUUCGUACCUUUUGCGGAAGCGAUUCGCGCAACAACGCGAUGAGCCCGGAUCGUUUAGAUUGAUUCACGUGUCCUCCGAUCGUCCUUGAAUGUCUUCUCACGCUCCACGAACUCGCGGUGGAUCGAACUACAAACGAGCGCGAUCGCAAAUCCACCAUGCAAAUUCCUCUAGAAUAAUAGGUCAAUNUUUUGAAUUCCUAUAUAUAUAUAUAUAUAUAUAUAUAUACACACACACACACACACAACUCUUUUAAUUUUGUAGAAUAUAUUAAAUAAUUAGAUUUUGAUUUUAAAGUAACUAAGAUUGAGUUUUUGAAGUGCCACAUGCUAUGCUAGGUGCAAUAAUAAUUUCUUGUGAAGAUAAAACCUAUAAAAAUAAUAAUUUUAUAUAGAUAACCGCUAUUUCUAAUAAUUUAUUAACAGAAUUUAACUCUAGAGCUAUAUUUGGAAUAGAUUGGAACGUAAAAAAAAUAUUUUUAAUAAUAAUUUUUUUUUUUGAUUAAACAGGGAUAUACCCUAUUUGAAAGAGUAGCUAGGGACAAAGGCGAUAUUACACAGGUCGAAAGCCCUAAUCUAAUCGCAAAAACAGAGGAAUGCUUGUUAAAGAACUACCCUGACAAAAUUAACCUUCCCAAAAUAAACCAUGUCCCCAUUCCAAAACGAUCAUUGCCAAGAGAAAGGAAGCUAGCUUGUUGAUGCAGACUCCCAAAGUAUGGUGGUCCCGUAGAUUCUUUGGCCCAGUUUUCCGCAGUCCUCAAAGUGAUCGUCAAAAAUUCGGAAACUUUUCAAAUGUACAUGAGCAAUUGCCCCCAUAUUAUAUGCAUAUUUAUUGGUGCUACGGUCGACUAGCUACUACAUCGCUUCACUUUGCGCAUCUCUCACUGUAUACGUACACAGUCCUUUACGUCUACAUCUAAUUAACUAUUUCUACAACAAAUCUAUUACUAUAUAUAAAAGUAGAACCCUUAAUAAACCCUAUGUGAGAAGCCGACACGUGACUUUCUAUAUACUUGCCAUGUGUCAAACUUAAAUAUGGAUAUUUGGUUACGAAUUAUUUGAAAUUAUUUGUUUAAUUAAUUAUUUAAAAUUAUUUUAAAAAAUUUACAGAUAUUAUGUGGCAAAAAAAUUGGCCGGUGCAGAUAUUACGCGUGAGAAGAGGUGGGAGGCGGAGGCGGUGGCAAUGGGGUGGGGGUAGGGGUGGGUGUGGGUGUUGGCCCCAACCAAAUGGUGUUUGGGGCCCAGCCCGGUAUUUUCUUAUACUUUAUUUUAAUUAUUUUCUCUUCAAUAAUUUGAAUCGAGAGAAUUUGAUUUUUUAUAAUCCAAUCAAAUUUUUAAAUAAUUUAGAUUAUCUAUAUUAAAUAUAAAUAUAAUUAAAAAUAAAAAGAGAGUUUGAUGGAGUUUAAAGUAAUACUUAUUUUAAUAAAUUUAGUUCCGAAAAUUAUAUGAAGUAUAUUAACUAAAUUUAUAAAGUCAAACAAUGCAUUCAAAUUUUGAAGUUAAAGUAUUAUUAAUCGACUAAAAUCAAAUAUAGAAAGAUUAGAUAAUUAAAGCAAAAUUUUGAAAGAUUAGGUAGUUUGUUUUGACUUUGAUUUUAAUUUCAAACUUCAAUAUCAUAUUUAUAUUCUGAUGAAUGAUCAACUUCAUAUUUAAAAUUUUUUAAAAUAUUCAAAUAUGAUUGGACCUUAAACCCAAAAAUUAAAAUAUAAAAAAAUAAAUUACUCAUUUUGUCCCAAAUUAUAAGAUGUGUGACAUCUUAGUCAUUACAUUUCUCUUAUACUUUUUGUCUUCUUCCGUUAUUUUAGCUAAAUUUAUUUAUUUUCUUUAAAUAUAUUAUUGGUUAUUUUUUAUAUUUAUAAUUUUAUAAAGUUAUCUAAUUAAUAAUAAAUUGUUUCAAAACAUACCCGUAGCUCUAGCAAAUCAAAAGGCCUCAAUUGAUGUUAAAGUUGAGGGGGCUAUUUCAAGCUAUAGCCAAUAGCUGAGGGGCCCUUUACAAUUUCUCCAAAAAAAAAAAAAAAUAAUUUGGACUUAUUUUAAAUUAUUAUAAUCAAAUCUAUAAUACUAUUAAUUGACUAAAUAUUGAUAAAUUAUGAUAAAAGAUUUUUAGUUAUAAAAUUUUGGAAUAUAAAAUUUUUCUACUUUUUGAAAUGCAUAGAUAGUAAUUACCCAUGUUUAGCACUACGGCCUGAGAUUAACUUUCUCACAAGACAGGUGCGAGCGAAUCCAAGACUGAAUACUAUUACCGGUCUGUUUUUUUCUCUUUUUUUUUUGUUGACCAAAAAGUCCUUUUUUAAAAUAGAUAUUUUACCUAUAAUUCAACGACCUAAUUAAUUUUGUUGGGCUGUUUAAAGCGACGAUUGUAUUAACUUUCGCGUUGAAAAUAUGUUAGACGGAAAAAUAAGUUUUAUCUUUCUAAUAUUUUUAUGCAAAUGUAAAAGUGUUCUAUUUGAUGGAUUGUUAUGUUUAUAUAGGCUUCUGGAGAUUUUGUCGGACAGAUAAUAUAUACAGACGAUGUUUGCCGAAGCAGUCGUUAAAAUUUAUAAAUAUUUAAUCAAGAUUAAUAAGAUAAAUUAUAUCAAAAGAUGACAAAAAGGAUUGAUAUUAUAAUCUUAAAUGAAUAUAUUACAUUUAAAGAAGAAUGUUUCACCUAUUAGUAUAAUCGACUCUAUAGAGCCUUCUGGAUGUGGGAAGAUGUCAUGGUUAUUGGGCAAAAGAGGUUAGAUCGAAGCAUAUAGGUACGGAGUACGCUUUCUGCCAUUUUAUCAGUAGAGUUAUAGAAAUUAUCUUUGAUCAUGUAUUUAUUCAAAUAAUACUGAGUAGUAUAUGCUUGUAUAGAAGUGUACAAAUAUAUCACGAUCCCCACAACUAUACCGCUAUUUUGAGAUUAGAUUCUUAUACUAUAUUAUUAAUCCAAUCUUUUCUGACUUUUAUUUAUUUAAUUAAAUAAUUUUAAUUAAUUAAGAUAAAAUUUUAUUAAAUUGCAGCCAAUAAUUCUAUUAAAUUGUAAUAUUGAAAAACUUAUAUAGUAAAUAAAAUUAAAAUCAAUAAUAGCUAAUAAUUUAAAUAGAAAUUAUUAUUUAAACAUUUUUUUAAUAGUAGAAAUAACUCAACUAAAAUUAGAUUUGAAAAAAUAUAUAUAUAUCAAAAGUAUACUAGCUGAGGGUAGCCAGUUCAAAAUUUUUAUAUUGAGGGGGUAAUUACUAGUCGCACUGUAAGAUUGCUUAACAAUUCCUAGUUAGCAGGGCAACUAGAAGAAAGUCGCGCGUCUAUGUAUUGCCACUUCAUGAUCAAAUUGGUCACAACAAAUGUUUCCACCGUCAUCUUCACGAGAACACAUCAAUUACUCAUUUUUCACAUGCCAAUUACAAAAGUUAGUCCUCAGGCGUGCUCAUUCACUCUUUAUACUGUUAAAAGCCAGUGUCUUUUAUUGUCGUCUUGUUUCAAAAGUUUUUUCUAUAUAUAUAUUAAUUAUUAAUAUAUAUAUAUAUAUUAUAUAUCAAUAUAAUAUAUAAGUAUAUAAAAGUUAUGGUAACUUCAAGUUUAUUUUGUAAUAAUUAGCUGUGCCUUAUUCAUUUAGCUAGCUCAACGGGAGCUGGCAAACGAGCGAGCCGUGCUCGCGUUCGAACUCGUGUUCGGCUCGAUAUUCGGUCAGCUCCGAGCUCGAAUCGAAAUUAAAUGAGCGCAAGCUUGAACAAAUAAAACUUCGAAAUUUAUUUCAAGCCGAGCUUGAGUAUUUCUCGCGUCGUUCGAUUAGGCUCGAAAGCUCGAAAGGCUCGAAUAUAUAUACAUAUAUAUAUAUAUAUUAUAUAUCUAGAGGCUUUAAUUUAUUUGGGACAUUUUUUGUUGGCCCAAUAAAAUAAACCCAACAGUAUCACUGAAUGUGAGCCAACUCUAAAUUUACAUAUACACUCUCUCUUUCAGAGCUUUAACUGUUUGCCAUAACCUCAAAACACAUGUAAAUUCAAAUUCUCAAAUCAGCAAUUUUUUUUGGCCUCUUCUCUCUCUCUCUCUCGACCCCUACCCGUCAGGCACGCACCCUAGCUACAUUUCUUUUAUAAUUAUUUUGUAUUUUGAACUAUUGAAAGUGUCGUCUCAAAAUUAUAGGUAAUGAUUCUAUAAAAUAUAAACUAUUGAUUAUAUUUAUAGCUCGAGAAUCUUCCACAUCCGGCUCGUUUAGAGCUCGAGCUCGCUCACUCCGAGAACUUAGGCUCGCUACGCUCGGCUCGAAUUAAUUUCAAGGCGGCUUGAGCUAGAUUUCAGGCUCGGAAUAUUAUUUCAAGCCGAUUUGAGCUGACAUAAGAUCGCUCGACUCGGGCUGUUUCACCCCUACUGCAACGCCUACCAUGUAAGGGUUUUGUAGUACAUGUUAUGGAAGAUAUUAUACUAGAUUUAUUUGAGAAGAUUAAGGUUUCUAAGAAAGACUCUUUUUUGGUUUUACUUUAUCAAAGUUACAUAUUUUGAUCACUUUUCGUUUAUAAAGAUGGUGCCCCCGGGGGGCGCUUGGGGGGGAGGUCUGGUGGCAAUAUAUGAUGCUAAAAUUUAUGCACUAUAUUUUUCUGUCUCUCUGUUUUAAUUAUCUUUUUUUUUUUUUAUGCCAUGUAAGAAAUUUGAGGUUGUUGGGCUUUCUGGCGAGAGCAAUUAAAUUUUUUUCUUGAGUAACAAGGAUAAACUAUGAAUUGCGUAGCAAUAAUAGACUUGUUUUCUGAAACUUCAUUCAUUAUAUGAACAGUUCUCUUUCUCUUUAAGCUUUAUUCUGUCCAUAACCGACUGUUUUCAAUGCAAGUUGGUAAGAGUUAAGGUUGGUACCCUCCGAUGUCCCAAUUGAAUUUUAGUUGAUUUCAUAUUUUCCAGCUAAGUUUAUUUUAACAGGAAGUGGAUAGGCAUGCUGCCUUCUCAUCAAAGAAAACUUUAUUCUGCAUAUGCAACUUUAAAUCCUUGUAUUACGAGGUUAGUCAAAUUAAUUCCUCACAAUACUCUUAUUAUGAGAAGGGACGAUUUGUUCUUUCUUUUAAGGCAUAAAUUAAUUGCAAGCAGAUAUAAUGCAGAACAUAUAUAAAAGGGGUAAUCGCAUGCAACAUUACCACCUUUCUCAAAAACCCGCAUUUCACAUAUAAACCUCAAAGAAAAAGAAAAAAAAAAUGAUUAUAUCCAUGGGAAGUAGAAAUUUUAUUUAAGGCAACCCGUAUAUACGAGGAAAUCUUGUGAAUUAUAAGAAAAGGCAAGAAACCACACUACAUAAAAGAAAAUUGUAAAAUCUAGAUUACAUCCGUGGCAUUUUCUGUUCAACUUCUCAAACUUAGUUACUAUCAUCACAUAUAAUUUGUCGUAAAGCUAUCAAUCGUUUUGAAAAUAGAUGCUACUUCCAAGACUCCUUGAAUAUUAAGAUACCGCACCACCCAGAAUCCAAGCCGACGAACGCUAAGCCAAUGCUGAGGUAUGGCCAUGUUGAUUAGAUCCAUCAGGGUUAGUCGUUCCAACUCAUUAGGCAUGUGUUUCAUUUUCAGUACAAUUCUUCCCCGUGGGAGGUCCACAAAGAUAAGUGUGCCAAUAUAAAUUGAAGGGUUUUGAGUGUGCUCAAUUGAUUUCUCUUUGGAAUCCUUCCAGAUAAAUUGUUGUAAGAUAAAUUCAGGUAGUUCAAAAAUGUCAAAGCCGACAAGUUUUUGUGGAAUGGCACCUUGAAGCUCUAUUAGUGAGAGUCCAGUGAUUCUAGAGAGCGCAUGUCACCUAACCUUUCCGGAAUCAUUCCAGUUAGAUGAUUUUCCGAUAAAUUCAAACUAUGCAAUAUCGCAAGUGCAACUAUCUCUUCUGGAUUUGACCGCUUUAAAUUAUUUUCCGAGAGGUCCAUAAUCUUGAGAAGAUAAAUGGUGGAGAAUAUUUGAUACUCUUUCUCAUGUAUUACAACAAGCAAGUUAUUACUGUAGUCAAAAUAUAAAGGUCCUCUCGUCAACAGAAAAUCCUUUCCAUCAUAACUGUGAAUUGUAGGAUAGAUCAUCGCGCUGAAUUACCAAAAGAGCGUGGAUUGAUCCUGUCAAAUGUUUAUGCGCGAAGAUCCAAGAAUUGAGGUAACGAGUGUCCAAGUUGCGAAGGAAUUUCUCCCACAAAUAUUGGACCUCAGCUGCAAUAUUACUAGAUCCAUGCAAGUUUUCACCUAUCCAUACUUGGAUUUUCCCUGUGAGUUUGUUGUUGCUAAGGUCAAGGAACAAUAAAUUAUAGCAAUGCUGCAGUUCAAAGGAAGUUCUCCAUAAAAAGUGUUAUUGUUGAGGUGCAAUAAUGUGAGCGAGCUCAGGAACAAUUGAAGAAGGAAUUUCCGCGGCAAGAUUGUUGUUUGAAAAAUCCAGACUAAAAGGCGGUGAAUUGUUCCAGCAUUGAGGGACUCCUCCUGGAUAAAGAGUUGUUUGAUAGCUCCAGAACUUCUAGAAUUUUAUUUACAUAUAUAAGAUGGGAUACUACCGUUAAUCUGAUUGCUUGAUAGUAACAAAGAACUUAAUUGCAGCAUGUUCGAGAUUGGUGAGAGGAAGGGUCCUGAUAUAGAAUUUCUGAGAGAUCUAAUAUUACAAGCGUGUUUGGCAAAGAUGGAAUUGGGCCUUCAAGUUUGUUAGACCCAAAAUAAAGCUCAUCUAGGAUUGUAAUUGCAAGGACAUGGGCACUUGCCUCUAAUCUGAUUAUGAGAGAGGUCUAGAUACUACAAUAUGUGAAUUCCAAAACAUUCGGAAGUGUCUGUGAUCCCUGUGUUUGGACAGAUUUAGAGAGACAAUUUGCAUUUGCCAUCGAAGCAAUGCUGGAAAAUAGAGGCCUGCGAAAAUUGACAGAGAAUCUAAAGCAAGAGAUACAAGUUGAAACGGAGAAUCCACUUGUUAUCCACGUCAAUGAAUCAAGAAUUUGAGCGCUAGGCUCAAGUACUUCAAGUUUGAUAGGUUGGCAAAAUGAGCUUCAGAUAUGACACUUUGCAAGGAAUUAUAAAGAAGGUCUAACAUAGCAAAUUUGGAGUCUCCCAAUUCCACUAGGAAAGGCCUGCUAGUGAAUUAUUGCUGAGAUCAAAGAGUAUCUAGAUUCUUAAUCUCCUCUAGCCAUCCAAAUAACUCCCAUGAAGCUUGUAUUUCCUAAAGUAGUUCCCAUAUUCUUCCAUGAGCAAGAAGCGCCUUUAUACAGCUCUGCAAUAUCCCACCGAUGCCCAGACCGCUCAAGUCUAUAGCUCGCAGAUUGCCAACAAAUUUUUAAUUGUCUGUAUGGUCUUUCAGAAUCAUAAGUCACAUUCCUAAAUACAGAACUGUUGAGAGAAGUUAUGUUUCCAAGAGAGUGGGAUCGUCAUGAAACCAGGAAUUCUGAGAUCGAGAUAGGAAAGCUUUGGUAAUGAUCCACAGCCAAGUUGGCAGGGUGGUAUUAAAGGGGCCAUUAUACUAAUAUCAAGAGAUUCUAGAUAUGUAAGUUGACAUGAGAAAGAGAUGUUGGAAUAUUAGUAAGCUGGCAUGAGAUAAAUAAUAAUUCUUGUAGAAAGUGCAACGUGUUUACUAUUCAUACACGGUCUGUAGCAUUGGAUAGGUUUAGCAUGCUUAAAUCAAGAACACCUAAUGAGAGACAACCGAGAGAGCCAUGAAAGGUCACCAACGCAAGUUGUGGGAAGCAAAAGGCCUCACCCAAACGCAGAGUAUACAGUCGAGAGAGAUUACUGAUCUGAAGAGGGGAUUUACAAGUAAGAGUGAACAGAGAGGUCAAGAUAGCGAAGAUUAGAUAGUGUGAGUUGCACAAGGUAUUUCACACACUGAAAUUAGAAUUAGAGAGAUCAAGAUGCAUCAAAGCUUUUAACGAACCAUAAAUUUCGGGAUAGAGGAUUCCACCAAAUCAUUCCAACUAAGAUCGAGGCGACUUAAAUGACUUAAAUAAAGUAAAGUGGAUGAUCUCACCGCGCAGGGCACAAUCGAAUGAAUUGGCAUCGCAGUUAUAAUUGUUUCGAAGGUGAGUUCACAAGUGGCCGGUGUUUGAUUGUCGAACUAUCCUUCAAGUGCUACAACAAUCGCCCGACGCCCACGAAGAACAAUCGACCGCGGUUCAAUAAUACCAGCUUUGAGCAAAGGAGUGCCUCCCUUUCGAUCUCGAAGCACCGCUUGUUAGGAUACAAUGAUGGCUAAAAACCAUACAGAGAAAGAAAGUGCUAGCACACGAGUAUGCAUGGUUGUGGCCUCGCGUGACAGUAUAUUUUUAACAGCUCUACACAAUGGCAUGGCGGCUUUAUAUAGAUCCGUGCGCAAAACACACGUGUACUUAUUAGGUCUCUCUCUAUGUUAAUUGGGACCAUUGGGAGAAAUGAAUACGGCCGCGUAUAGAAGAAGCUAAUUAGACGCCCAGUCAAUGAUGUGAGGAAUAAUGUUUACGCAUUAUUAGUGACAAUAGUUGCACUUGUUUGAAAAUUCAAACUAACUUUGAUAACGUUGUACGUAAAAAUUCAUGAAUUUUAAAAUUUUGCCAUAUUGGCGCAAGUAGUCAACUCUAAGAUUCGACAUGCCACUAAGGGAUUGUUGUUUUGAUCUAGAAAGCAAACAAGUGUCUAAUAACAAUAAACUGAAAGUUGUACUAAUUCUAUUGAAAAGUUCAUCAAAUUUGGUAAUUUUAAUUACUUUGUAGUAAAUGAAACUUAAUUAAUAUAUACCUGCUGAUAGCUGAAUUUAAAACUAGAAUGCAUAUCUGCAACCACAUCUAGAGUUUAAUAUCUAAGCCAUCUUUGAUUUCGGUUAAGAUAUAUAGAAUUUCACCAGCGAGAAAAGAAAACGUUUUUAUGCUUCGUCUAAACCCUUGAAUUUAUAAGUAAACGUUCAAUGAGAUUAGGCUAUAUCUUAUAGUAUUAUGCUGGAAUACUUUUAAAAGCACACGGCAUUCAUUUUUAUUUCUUAAACGUCUAUGGCUUAAUUACUAUUUGGUGGUUGUACUUUUAUAGAUUUUAGGGUUAAAAACUCAUAAGUACGUGAAUAAUACGUGCUUUUAAAAAUAUUAUAGCUCAACUUAUAUCUCAUAUGCCCCUAUAUCUAAAGUAGUAACUAAAAGAGCAAAGUGAAUUUUAAUCCAAAAUCGAAUGAAACAUCACAACAAUUUAGACACUGAAUAUAGGCAACAUGAAUCACACUAAUGUGGGCCCGAAGGAUAAUGCAUAAUAUAAAAAUAAUGUUCGGGAUGAGCAAAAAUUAAUCCCCAUUAACAUUGUGGAAAAGGAUAUAAAGCAGAAGAGCCAAGUCCAUCCCAUUAGUAUUUAACAAAAAUAAAGUUGAUAACUUUAGUAAGUGGCUAGCCCUUUUAGUAAGUGCUUGACCCAACGUCAAACACUAAAAGAAUUUAUUUUCUCUUAUUUGGAUUCAAAUAUAAAAAAUAAAAAAUAAUAAAAAUGGGUAGAAAUUCGCAAUUUACGGUGAUACUAUAUUUGCCCCGAUACCAAUUUGUUAUAAAAAGAACAUAAAAGAUCUAACUCAUCGCGUGUGAAAAUUAAAUAGCAAAAAAAAAUUGAGAAAGUGAGAAGUAAAAUAAAAUACAUAAAUAUUUACAUGGUUCGAGACGUAUAAGGAGUGAAGAUUUUCAUUAUAAUCAAAAUGGCGUACAAAAAUUACUUUUCAUCGCGAUAUGUAGAAUGCAAUAGAUAACGCAUAUAUAAAAAUUGGGACUCAAAAUACAAACAACGUGAGUCAUAUAUACUAAUAUGGGCCUAAUAGAUAAUGCAUAUAUAAACAAUAAUAUUUUGAUAGACCGAUAAUAGUAAGUAAUGCUCGUGGAAAAGCAGGCAUAAAGGCCCAAGUCAAUUCUAAGUGUGGCAAAGAAAUUAAAGAGGCAAAACUUUCGUUAUUUAGUGGAGGACUCCAAGUCACAAGGCCCAAGGACUUUUUUUAAAUAAAGGAUAAAGUGUAUCAAGUUAGCCCCUGUGGUUUCAUAUUUUCUCAUUUUACUAUCCUGUGAUUUAAAGUGUAUCAAGUUAGUACCCUGUGGUUUCAUUUUUCUUUUUUUUAUUAUCUAUUUUACUAUUUUUUUUCGUUAAAUCAGUGAUAAAGUUAAAACUAAAGGGUACUAAAGUAAUUAUUCGAUAAACUUAGAUAGGAUAUCUGAAGUUUUUUGUAUAUAAUUUAACGAAAUAUUAACGGAGGAAAAAAAAAUUAGUGACAAAGUUAAAACUAAAAAGUAUUAAAGUAAAUAUUCGAUAAACCUAGGUAGGGUAUCUAAAGUUUAUGUAAUAAUUUAACGAAAUAUCAACAGAGAAGCCGACGAAAAAAAGAAAAUGAAACCACAGGGUAUUAAAUUGAUGCACUUUAAAUCAGAGGGUACUAAAAUGAGAAAGUGUGAAAUCACAAAGUACUAAAUUAAUACACUUUAAAUCACAUAGUACUAAAAUGACAAAAGGCGAAACCAUAUAGGUGGUAUUUGAAAUUUUCCCAAAAAAAAAAACAAAAACAAAAACAUUCUUUUUUUUUUUCCUUUUGGAUAAAAGGAAAUUUUACUUAUACAUUCUAAUAAUAAAAUGUAAAUCUUACACCCUCUAUUCCAAGGCUUCUAGAAAUUUAAAUAAUUUUUAGUAAAAAAUAAAUAAAUAAUUGAAGUGACAAGUAAAAGUUAAUGGUCUUUGGAUAGAAAAAGUAUAAAAUAUACAUCCCAUCGAACUCAGGAUCUCCGGGUUUAAUAUCAUGUUAAAUAUACAAAAUAAUCAUUAUUCUUUAAACGCUUAAGUUGCACGAGAACGAUAUUUUUAAUAAUUAUAUUCAACAGGAGUGUACCAGCUACAUUGCUUUUGGAUAAAUUAUAGUUUUAGUCUUAAAACUAUAAGACUGGUAACAUUUUGGUACUUAAUUUUUAGUUUGUUAUAAUUUUAACUGAACUAAAAUAAAUUAAGAUUUUGAAAAAAAAAAUAUAUAUCAAUGAAAAGUAUAUAGCUGAGGUAGCCAUUUCAAAAAAUUUUAUAGUUGAGGGGGUAAUUAAGUCGGCACCGUAAGAUUCUACAAUUGCCCAGUCUAGCAGGGCCAACAGAGAGAGUCGUGUCUUCAAUUGCCGACUUCAUGCAUCAAAUUGUAACACAAAUGCUUUCCACCGCUCAUCACGAGAACCACAUCCAAAUUACUCAUUUUAAUGCAUUAAAAAGUUAGCUCCUCAGCGUGCUAUUCACUCUUUAUACUGUUCUAAAAAGCCCCAGGGUUCUUAUUGUGCCUUGUUUAAAAAGCUUUUCCAUAACCCUAUAUAUAUUGGCCAUGGCUACUAUACUAUUAUGAGUAUUGGAGCUCUCAUACUCAUAAGUUGUUUUCAAUGAUGGAGCUUCUGAAUCGACGAUCCAGUCCGUUAAAUAUGAUCUAGAGUAUUUGAAACUUCUAAAAAAUAAAUUUCGUAAAUUUUCGAAAUCAUAAUAAAGUCCAUCAAAUGGGCAUAAAAUGAACGGUCAAAAUCGAACGACGUUCUAAAAAAGGAUGAUCGGAUCCUUCAAUUCAAGAUCGGAGUUAUUGAUCUUUAUGUAUGUAGUGAAUAGAAUUUUCUAUCAAAAAUUCAACAAAUUCCGAUCCUUUUACACCGUUAAACUAGCAAGUAUCCCAUACCGGCCGUUAAAAAUUGUCAAAUUUGUGACCUCUUGAUCGUAAGGUAAAUGAUGUCGAAAAAUUAUAAAAUUUGAUUUCUAGAAGUUUUAAAUGCUGUAAAUAACGUUUAACGGUGUGGAUCGUCGAUUCGGAAGUUUUAUCAUCGAAAACAACUUAUGAGUACGAGGGUGAUCGUACUCAUAAUAGUAUAGUAGCCGGACCCUAUAUAUAUAUAUAUAACUGUUAUGGUACAUCUCAAGAUUAUACUUUAGAGGAAAGAAAUUUCUUUUGUAAUAAUUAGCUGUGUCCUUAAUCUUUAGCUAGCUCAACGCCUACCAUGUAAAAGGGUUUUGUUACAUGUAUGGGAAGACUAUAUACUGGAUUUAUUUGAAAUUAAGGUUUCUAAGAAAAGACUUUUUUUUGGCUUUUACUUUAUUCAAAGUACAAUUUUUGAUCCAUUUUCGUUUAUAAAGAUAGGUCUGUGGCCAAAUAUAUGACGUAAAAUAUUUAUGCACUAUAUUUUUCUCUCUCUGUUUUAAUUAUCUUUUUUUUUUUUUUAUGCAUAAGAAAUUUGGGUGGUUGGGCUUUUUUUAGCGAUAGCAAGUAAAUUUUUUUUUUGACUAAACAGGGAUAAACUCUAUUUUAGAGCGUGAUAGCAAUUAAAUAGUAGACCAUUGUUUUCUUAAACUUAUUUUUAUAAUGAAGCAGUUCUCUUUCUCUUCUAACUUUUAUUCUGUCAUACCGACUGUUUGUUAUAUUUGGUUUAGAUUUGUAGUUAUCUAAAUUGGAGUUAAAUCCUAAUUUAAUUGGGAUUGAAUAUAAUUUAGAUUUAAUUUGGCAUAUAUGGGUUAUGAGUCGGAAUCUAAUUUCUAAUUGAAUUAGGAUUAGACUCUAUUUAGAAGGCAUGUAUUAUAAAUACAUGCUACGGCCAAAUUAAUCGGUGCGACCAAAUUAAGAUGCCACGUUCUAAUUAAGCCAAGCAAUGCAUGUUGGUUCCAGACGAUCAAGAAGCCGCCGCCACCAAAUCAAGAAGCCAUGCACUAAUUAAAUUCAAGUUGCUUGUAGUCCGUACGGCUAAGAGGAGAGUGGCCGCGGCUCUAAUUAAGGUUGCAUAUUAGAGAGAGCCGCUAAUUAGCCGCAUGUGCUAAUUGAAGGCCAAUUUUGAUGGUCCGUACGGAUUGGUGAGAGAGAAGUUUUUUUUUUCUCGAGUUUCUUGUUGCGGUGUUUCGGAUUUAAUUACGUUUUGAUCUUUUGAGAGAUUUUCUUAUACUCCGCCUUUUCGACAUUAAUAAAUUAUUUGUUCCGUCGUCGUCCGUGGACGUAGGCCGUUGGCCGAACCACGUAAAUAUCGGUGUGUUCUUUCCGCUUAUCUUUUCUUUUAUUGCAUUAAGUUAUUUUCUGGAUCUAUUUUUCGCCGUUCCGAUUUUAACACUGUUCUCAGCGCAAGUGGCAAAGAGUUUGAUGGUUGGUACCCGAUGUCCCAAGUUUGAAUCAUAGUUGAUUCACAUUUUCAGCUAAGCUUAUUUUAAACGAAGUGGAUAGCAUACUGCCUUUCUCUCAAAAAAAGCCUCUAAUUCUGUCAUAUGCAACUUUUAAAUCCUUGUAUUACGAAGGUUAGUAAAUUAAUUCCUCACAAUACUCUUAUUAUACGAGAAGGGACGAUUUGUUCUUUUCUUUUUAAGCAUAAAUUAAUUAGCAAGCAGGAAUAUAAUGAGAACAUAAAAAGGGGUAAUGCAUGCAACACUACCCACUUUCUCAAAACCAGCAUUUCACAUUAAUACUCAAAGAAAAAAAAAAAUCUCCCAUGAAGUAGAAAUUAUUAUUAAGCAAACCCUAUAUACAGGAGAAUCUUGUGAAAUUAUAAGAAAAACAAGAAACACACCAUACAUAAAGAUAAAUUAUAGAAAUCAGACUUCAUCCGUGCAUUUUUCUAUUCAACCUUCUCAAACUUAUUACUAUCAUCACAUNUAUUUUCCUCUUCUCAUAGUUAUAAGAUGGUGAUAGAUGGAAGAGUUCCAAUACCUGGAGAGUUUAUUGUUGGAUUCACCAGUUUAAGGUCUUCUCUAUCAUCGUGAACCCGAUAACGUCUCAAACUUAAAUAGUCCUUUAGUAGAUUGGCCUUACUAAGGCCUUUCCAAUCCACUGUACGCGAGGGACCUUAGCGACCUAGAGAGAGAUUUACCCGAAGUUCCACGAUAAGGUGUUUCGAACAGCCGAAACUGUAAAAACUUGGUGAACUUAAAUAGAAUAUUGUUAAAUUGACCUUCUUAAGGUUGGCCUUUAGUUAACUCGUGUGAGUUAUUGGGAAGUUAAAUAUAACCGUUGUGAAUAGAAACACCUGGAGGGUGCCCCUUCUUAACAUGACUUUUACUUACCACAAGCAAGUUAUUACUAUAGUCAAUGGCUGUAAAGAGCCACUCCUCAACAGUAUAUAUAUUUCUAGUAUUAUUUAUCAUAGCGCUGAAAUUACCAAAAGAACGUGGUAUUGAUCCUGUCAAAUUGUUAUGUGAAAGAUCCAAGAAUUGGAGGUAGGUGAGUUGCGCAAGUUCCGAAGGAAUUUCGCCCACAAACAUAUUUGACCUCAGCUGCAGUAUUGAUAGAUACUCUAGGUUCUCACCUAUCCAUGUCGGAAUUUCCCCCGUGAAUUUAUUGCUGCUAAGGUCAAGGAACAAUAAAUUAUUGCAAUGCUGCAGUUCCAAAGGAAGUUCUCCAUAAAAAGUGUUAUUGUUGAGGUGCAAUAAUGUGAGCGAGCUCAGCGAACCAAUUGAAGGAGGAAUUUCGCCGGCAAGAUUGUUGUUCGACAAAUCCAAAACUAAAAGGGAUGAAUUGUUCCAGCAUUGAGGGAGUUCUCCUGAUAAAGAGUUGUUUGAUAGGUCCAGCACUUUCUAGAUAUUUUAGUUUACAUAUAUAAGAUGGGAUACUACCGUUAAUCUGAUUGCUUGAUAGUAACAAAUAUCUUAACUGCGACAUAUUUGAGAUUGGUGAGAGGAAGGGUCCUGAUAUAGAAUUAUUUGAGAGAUCUAAUGUUCUGAGUGUGUUUGGCAAAGAUGGAAUUGGGCCUUCCAGUUUGUUUGACCUGAAAAUAAGAUCUUCUAGGAUUGUAAAUUGCAAGGACAUGGGCAACUUGCCUCUAAUCUGAUUAUGAGAGAGAUCUACGUUACUACAAUAUGGUGAAUUCCAAAACCAUUCGGGAAUAGUGUCUGUGAUCCCUGUGUUGGACAGAUUUAGAGAGAAAAUUUGCAUUUGCCCUCGAAGCCAUGCUGGAAAUAGAGGCGGCGAAAAUUGACAAGAACCUAACAUAAUAUCCCCAAGUUGAAACGGAGGAAUCCACUUGUUAUCCACGUCAAUGAUCAAAGAAUUUGACUCUAGGCUCAAGAUCUUCAACUUUGAUAGGUUGGCAAAAUGAGCUUCAGAUAUGACACCUUGCAAGGAAUUAUAAGAGAGGUCUAACCAUAGCAAAUUUGAGAGUCUCCCAAUUCCACUAGGAAUAGGCCCUGCUAGUGAAUUAUUGCUGAGAUCAAGAGUAUCUAGACUCUUAAUCUCCUCUAGCCAUCCAAAUAAACUCCCAUGAAACUUGUUAUUUCCUAACAUUAGUUCCUCCAUAUUCUUCCAUGGACAAUGCGACGGCCUUACCAACUCUGCAAUGUCUCCGCCGAUGCCAACAGAGAUCAAGUUUAUACUUACUAAAUUGCACAUAUUUUGAAUUGAUGUAGGUAUACUACCUUCAAAAUUAUUAGAUUCUAAAUAUAGGGCGUUCAAGGAAGUUAAGUUUCCAAGUGAGUCUGGGAUCUUCCCAUGAAAUCCAGAAUAUCCGAGAUCAAGAUAGGAAAGCUCCGUAAGAUUCCACAACCAAGUUGGUAGGGUGGUAUUGAAGGGACCAUUAGAGCCAAUAUCAAGAAAUUUCAGGGAUGUAAAGUUGACAUAAGAAAGAGAUGUGGGAAUUUUAGUAAGAGAACAACCAAGUAACGAUAGAUCUGUUAGAGAAUGCAACGUGUUUACUACUUCCAACCAAUCUGUAGCAUUGGAUAGGUUUAGCAUGCUUAAAUCAAGAACCCUCAUAGAAGACAACUGAGAGAGCCACGAAAGGUUAUCGACACAAGGGCCGUUGGAGGCAAAAGCAGCAGUCAGAUGCAGAGUAUGCAGACGAGACAGAUUGUUGAGCUGAGCAGGAGGUGUUGUACAUACGAAGUUUGAAUAAGAGAGGUCAAGAUAGCGAAGAUUAGAUAGGUUGUCGAGUUGCUCAGGUACUUCACCACUGAAAUUAGAAAAAGAGAGAUCAAGAUGCAUUAAGCUUUUUAACGAACCGAUAAAUUUCGGGAUAGAGAUUCCACCAAAAUCAUUCCAACUAAGAUCAAGGCGACUUAAAUGACUUAAAACAAGUAAAGAUGGAUUGAUCUCACCGCGCAGGGAAUAAUUUGAUAAAUACUUGUUUCGAAGGUUGAGCUUCACAACGUGGCCCGUGUUGUUGUCGCAAACUACUCCCUUCCAAGUGCUACAACAAUCCCGACCGGCCCAUGAAGACAAUCGACCGCCGGUAUCAAUAAUACCAGCUUUGAAGGUAAGGAGUGCCUCCCUUUCCAUCUCGAAGCACCCGCUUGUUAGGAUACAAUGAUGGCCUAAAAGCCAUACACUGAGAAGAAGUGCUAGCACACGGUACUGCAUGGUUAUGGUCCUCGUGACUAGUAUAUUUUACAGCUCUACACAAUGGCAGUGGCUGCUUUAUAUAGAUCCGUGCGCAAAAUAUACGUGUAUUAAUUUAUUGGUGCUGGGGUCAAUUACACCCUUCAUUUGUGCAUUUAUCUCUCUACGCUGUCCUUGUCUAUGUCUACAUCUUAUUAACUAUUUCUACAGCAAAAUAAAAAAAUAAAAAAAAUAAAGAAAAAGAAAACUUGGAACUUUAGGGACUCUUCCAAACAAACUUUCAACACUUUCUGCAGAGAAGAAGUGCUACAACAACAUAAAAAAAAAAAAAAAAAAAAAAAAAAAAAAAAAAAAAAAAAUGAAGCCUAAGUGGCAAAGAGCUUGAUGGUUGGUAUCCGAAACUCAAGUUCAAAUCCUAAUUGAUUAACAUUUCUAGCCAAAUUUAUUUCUAAAUGAAAUAAACAAAGCGGGUAGCGUGCUAACUACCUCUCAAAAAAGAAAAAGAAAACUUGGAAUUUUACUGACUCUUUUUUUAUUUUUUUGAGGAAAGAAUAGCAUAUUACUUCGAUAUGGAUAAAAAAAAAAAAAAGCACUACGCUACUGAUUAUAGCUGUGCGUUUAAGUCCCUGUUGAUUCGAAACUUGGACAUACAUGAAAUUGAAUUCUCUGCACGUGAGAAUAUAUAUUGACUAAAUAUUAUUAUAUGGAAUCUUGACUUAACAUAACUAAGCCUAAGAAUUUAUGGCACAGCCCAAAAAUCCCCCAAAACGCCCAAGAAAUAUAUAUAUAUAUAAGAAGGAAUUUUGGGUGAACUUGUGGUGACGAUCGAGAAGCAUAAACGAGGAAACGAGUAAUUUUCAAUGAUCCUAAUAAUGCAACCAGUUGGGACCCCCUGGGAGGAAAAAUGAAUACAUCGUAUAGAAGGGGCUAAAGAUCCCAAGUCAGUGAUGCGAGGGUUGAUGUAUGCAUUAUUAAUUAGCUGUAAUAUAUAGAUGCACUUGUUUUAAAAUUCAAAACUAAUCUGAUAGAUGUAAUGUACAAUAUCUAAAACACUUGUACGUAAAAAUUCAUGAAUUUUGAAACUUUGUCAUCUUGGAGGUAAGUAGUCCAAGAUUCGGUAAUGCACGAAGGGAUUUUGUUAUUUGAUCCAGAGGAAACACGAAUGUAAUAACUUUUGAAUUCCUAUAUACAUACGGCUCUUUUAAUUUUGUAGAAUACAUUAAAUAAUUAGAUUAAGUAACUAAUUAAGAUUGAGUUUUUUAGAAGUGGCACAUGCUAUACGCUAGGUGCAGUAAUAAUUUAAUUUCCUGUGACCAUAAAGGCUGUAAAAAAAGUAGUCUAUAUAUUUUAGACUAACGAAGGUAUUUUGUGCAAACAAAUCCUACGAAAGAGAAAAAAAAUAUAGAUUCGACCAGCUAGGCCCUAAUUAGAGAGAUAUUAAUUAUUAUUAUGAUAUUAAUAAUUAAAUAAUAAUUACAUAAUUAGAGAGAUAUGAAUUAGAAAGACAUUUUUUAGAAAUAUAGUAAAUCACUUCAUACGUAAAAUAUACUAUUCUAUUAAAUUAUUAUAGAUAUUAAGAUUUUUGAAAAAAACAAAAGAAUCAAAAUUUUUAGUUAUAGUCAUACCGAAAAGUCUUCAUACUUGGAUAACUUAUUCGAUAUCUAAAUAGCACCUAAAUAAUUAGAUUUUAAUUUGAAAACAACUAUAGCUGAAUUUUAAAAGUGCCAUGCAAGAUACGCGAGUUGCGGCAAUAAUUUCUUCUGACGAUAAAACUAAAGAAAUGGUGGAGUAUAGACUAUCUACAUUUGACUAACAAAAGACAUUUCAUCCAAAGUGUAGACCCUCUUUAUGUGGCUAACAAAAGUAUUCUGUCCAAACAAACCAUAUAAAUUAAAAUAUAUGUAUAGAAAAAAAAAAACUUUGAUUUGACCUGUUGAUCUCGAUGUUUCACAUAUUGGAUCGGUUAAUCUCGGCCGAUGAUAAAACUUCAAUGAGGAGCUCCGCAAACGAUGUUUGUUGGGGAGUUUCCGAAGUUAAUUUUCUCUCCAAUCAAAAUUUUAUAGUGUUUUUUAAUACUAAAAUUUUAAAAAAGAAUUAAAAUCUAAAAAAAAUAUAAUUUUUGAAUAAAAACAAAAGUGAUAUAUGGUGACAUAUUGGGUCUCCUUAACGGCACGUCAUUACGGAGCUUGGACUGAAGUGUCUAUUCCGGGGCGAAUGGUGCCAAAAUAACUACUAAUCAAAGCCGUGAGAGUUCAAGCAAAUUGAGACAAUACUCACGUGACCCGAUCCGAUCUGACCAGAAAUGUUUUCGAAUGGGGCUUGUAGUUCAGACACCUGAAAUAAAUUCAGCAUCAGGUUUGACUCUGUAGAGCCAAUUUCCUCUAUUGAUAAUUGAGUGGUCGAUCCAUGUGCAUUUGAGAAAUACAUUGAUUUUCUUUUUACCCCAAAUUGUGACGAGAAAAAGGGAGUGAUUUUUAAUUUCUUUUUUUUUUUAGAGAAAGAUAGAAUGCUAUCCGCUUUGUUUAUUUUUUAGCUGAAAAUAUGAAUCAACUAUGAUUUGAAUUUAAGAACUUCGAUAACAACGAUCAAUCCCUUUGCCACUUGCGGUAGAAACGAUCAAUAAGAAAUUUUUAAUUNNNNNNNNNNNNNNNNNNNNNNNNNNNNNNNNNNNNNNNNNNNNNNNNNNNNNNNNNNNNNNNNNNNNNNNNNNNNNNNNNNNNNNNNNNNNNNNNNNNNGUUAUUGUUGAGGUGCAAUAAUGUGAGCGAGCUCAGCGAACCAAUUGAAGGAGGAAUUUCGCCGGCAAGAUUGUUGUUCGACAAAUCCAAAACUAAAAGGGAUGAAUUGUUCCAGCAUUGAGGGAGUUCUCCUGAUAAAGAGUUGUUUGAUAGGUCCAGCACUUUCUAGAUAUUUUAGUUUACAUAUAUAAGAUGGGAUACUACCGUUAAUCUGAUUGCUUGAUAGUAACAAAUAUCUUAACUGCGACAUAUUUGAGAUUGGUGAGAGGAAGGGUCCUGAUAUAGAAUUAUUUGAGAGAUCUAAUGUUCUGAGUGUGUUUGGCAAAGAUGGAAUUGGGCCUUCCAGUUUGUUUGACCUGAAAAUAAGAUCUUCUAGGAUUGUAAAUUGCAAGGACAUGGGCAACUUGCCUCUAAUCUGAUUAUGAGAGAGAUCUACGUUACUACAAUAUGGUGAAUUCCAAAACCAUUCGGGAAUAGUGUCUGUGAUCCCUGUGUUGGACAGAUUUAGAGAGAAAAUUUGCAUUUGCCCUCGAAGCCAUGCUGGAAAUAGAGGCGGCGAAAAUUGACAAGAACCUAACAUAAUAUCCCCAAGUUGAAACGGAGGAAUCCACUUGUUAUCCACGUCAAUGAUCAAAGAAUUUGACUCUAGGCUCAAGAUCUUCAACUUUGAUAGGUUGGCAAAAUGAGCUUCAGAUAUGACACCUUGCAAGGAAUUAUAAGAGAGGUCUAACCAUAGCAAAUUUGAGAGUCUCCCAAUUCCACUAGGAAUAGGCCCUGCUAGUGAAUUAUUGCUGAGAUCAAGAGAGCUUAGAUUCUUCAUCUCCUCUAGCCAUCCAAAUAAACUCCCAUGAAGCUUGCUAUUUUCUAAAGUUAGUUCCUCCAUAUUCUUCCAUGAGCAAAGCGUCCUUACAACCUCUGCAAUAUCUCCACCGAUGCCCAGACCGCUCAAGUCUAUAGCUCGCAGAUUGCACAAAUUUUUAAUUGGUCUAGGUAUGGUACUUUCAGAAUCAAAGUCAUUCAUUCCUAAAUACAGACUGUUGAGAGAAGUUAUGUUUCCAAGAGAGUCUGGGAUCGUCCCAUGAAAUCCAGAAUUUCUGAGAUCGAGAUAGGAAAGCUUGGUAAGAUUCCACAGCCAAGUUGGCAGGGUGGUAUUAAAGGGGCCAUUAUGACUAAUAUCAAGAGAUUCUAGAUAUGUAAAGUUGACAUGAGAAAGAGAUGUUGGAAUAUUAGUAAGCUGGCAUGACGAUAAAUAUAAUUCUUGUAGAAAGUGCAACGUGUUUACUACUUCUAACCAAUCUGUAGCAUUGGAUAGGUUUAGCAUGCUUAAAUCAAGAACCCUAAUAGAAGACAACCGAGAGAGCCAUGAAAGGUCACCAACGCAAGGGUUGUGGGAAGCAAAAGCGUCACCCAAACGCAGAGUAUGCAGUCGAGAGAGAUUACUGAUCUGAAGAGGGGAUUUACAAGUGAAGAGUGAACUAGAGAGGUCAAGAUAGCGAAGAUUAGAUAGGUUGUCGAGUUGCACAGGUAUUUCACCACUGAAAUUAGAAUUAGAGAGAUCAAGAUGCAUCAAGCUUUUUAACGAGCCGAUAAAUUUCGGAACAGAGAUUCCACCAAAAUCAUUCCCACUAAGAUCAAGGCGACUUAAAUGACUUAGAACAAGUAAAGAUGAAUUGAUCUCACCGCGCAGGGAAUAAUCCGACCGGUUGGAAUAACUCAUAUAGUUGUUUCGAAGGUUGAGCUUCACAACGUGGCCGGUGUUGUUGUCGCAAACUACUUCCUUCCAAGUGCUACAACAAUCCCGACCGGCCCAUGAAGACAAUCGACCGCCGGUAUCAAUAAUACCAGCUUUGAAGGUAAGGAGUGCCUCCCUUUCGAUCUCGAAGCAGCCGCUUGUUAGGAUACAAUGAUGGCCUAAAAGCCAUACACUGAGAAGAAGUGCUAGCACACGGUAUUGCAUGGUUGUGGCCCUCGUGACUAGGAUAUUUUACAGCUCUACGCAAUGGCAAUGGCGGCUUUAUAUAGAUCCGUGCGCAAAACACACGUGUACUUAUUAGGUCGUCUCUCUCUAGUUAAUUGGGACCAUUGNUGUUUCACGUACGUUGUCUUACUUGGAAAGUGCACAAGUUUGAAUUGAUAAUGUUAUUUUUAUAUGAAAUAAUUAUUAUAAAUACCGAAUAACACGUUGAACCAGUAGAGCUGGAACAAUUGUUAUUUCUCUACAGGCCAUUUUAAAAUGGCCCCCUUUUUGUUCGUUCAACCCUUCUUAACCUUUUAUUUUUCACACAAUUUCAUGGUUUUAGGCGAAAUAAACUGGAAGUUGUACUAAUUCUAUUGAAAAGUUCAUCAAAUUUGGUAAUUUUAAUUACUUGGUAGUAAAUGAAACUUAAUUAAUAUAUACCUGCUGAUAGCUGAAUUUAAAACUAGAAUGCAUAUCUGCAACUACAUCUAGAGUUUAAUAUCUAAGCCAUCUUUGAUUUCGGUUGUAUUGUUUAAGAUUUUCGCACUGGCUAGCUAAAUAAUCUGAAAGCUUCAAACUUCGAUUACACUGUAUUAGAUGCUUAACCUCACUUUAAAGCUCACUCACCACAUUGAAUACGGAUCGAUAUUAGCCAUGCGUCAAAUAGUUCAACUCCUAAAGAAGUUAACCAUUACCUCACCAUAUUGAAUACGGAUAUUAGCCAUGCGUCAAAUAGUCCAAUUUAUAAUGAAGUUAACCACGCUCAAACCCAAGUCAAAUGUCUGGUUAAUUAGACCCUCCACAACGCAAAUUACAUAUUUCAACUGAUAUUAACAAUCAUGAGAACAAGAGCACGUCGAACUCGCAAAUCUCGCACUACUGAUAAAACAUAUAAACUCUACUAUAAUUUGAGCCUAAAAGACUCAAGCUACCCUACAUAUAAAACAUGAAAAAGAUAGCUUUAUAGAACUGAUAAUUGAAAAUGAAUAGUGAAGUUAAUAAAUAAAAAAAAUGAUUCGUAAUAAAAUUAAACAUCAACAGAACCUAAUAGAACACAUUCUAAACCUAAGAAGAAGUAGAGCGAACAUACUCGACUUGAAAGGACAAAGCAGGCUGUCAAGUAAACCCGUGCGUUACAAAAACAAAAACAAAAAAAAAACCCUUCCAAAGCGUUAUAAAGGAGAUACAAAAGCGUAAAAGAAUAAAAUCAUGGAACACGAAAUUAUUCACAUAAUUAAAGUCUAUGGAACUAAUAAAACGUGAAAGAGUAAAAUCAUGGAACACUAAAUUUCACAUAAUUAAAUCAUAGGACACCAAAGUAAACAGAAAAAAAGCAGCCGAAGAGACAACUAUAAAGCAAUGUAAUAAUGUAGUUGAAAUCUAUGAGACGGAUCCAAAUAGCGUAUAAAGGAAAUCAUGAAAAAUCAAAAUGGAAACAGUGACUAAAAAAAAAGCAGGCAAUGAUAAAGUAAUUUAAUAUAUGCUUUUUGAAAUUUAUAGGACAGAUCCAAAGAGCGAAAUAAUGAAAUCAUGGGAAAUCAAAAUUGAAGCAGUGACUAAAUUGCUUUUUUUAAUCAUUUUAUCUAUUAUUUUUCCCUUUUUACUUUGGUAUCUUAUGAUUGAACUAUGUGAAAUUUAGUAUACUAUGAUUUUAUUUUUUUACACUUUGGUAUCCCCGAUUGAACUAUGUGAAAUAGGAAAUAAAUUUUAUUGAGGAACCCGGAACACUGAACUCAGGAGGUGAUUAUUGUUUUCAAAACGGGAGAAAUUAAAGAAACGGUGUGAAUCUUAACUGAACCCGGAAAUACGGACGAAAAGGUGCUCGUAAUGAAUGAUAAUAGCCAGAUAGUUUUAUAAUAACAAAUAUAUACGUAAUAGAUAAUCCGGGUAUAAUCAUAUAUACUGAGUGCAACAAACAUAAAACUCAGGGUUAAAAAUAUAUACGCAAUAGAUAACGUAAGAUGUAUAGCGCUACUUUUCAAUAAAAACAUGCAAUAAAACUAAUAUUACUUUUAGAAGUGAGGCAUACGCAGAGCUUGGUAGAUUUAUAAAUAUAUAAAAUAAAAUGAAGAGUGAAAGAGCUAAAAAAAAACGAUAAAUUAAAAGUGUGCGCUACUCAAUCUAGAAAAGACAAGAAAAAUAUUGUUUGACCAUAGCCUCGUUUAUAUCAUAGUGACAUUUAACGCUUAAAGAUUGGUGAAAAUAAUAAAAAAGAACAAAUAUAAACUUAAGUUUAUUCUCUUUUAUUUAAGAAAAUCACAAACUGCAACCCAGUUCGUGAAUGAUUUUCCCGAUCGGUGAAUGAUUUCAAUAGUUGAAAUAAAAACAAUUUGUGAUUACCCUACCUGAACCGAGAAGACGAAAUAUAGGAAAAGGUGUUACAAUUACCCCUAAUUAAAAACAAGUAGGGCUUAUAAUAAAAAUAUAAUUCGUAAUAGGAAGCCCGGGUGUAAUCACACUAAGUACAACAGAUAUAAGUCACAGAUUUAACAACACUACAAAGUAAGCUAAAACCUAAUUUUAAGUAAAAUGAGAAAUCAAUGAUGAAAUCUAUAUCCCCGUAUACUCUAUAUUCAACUCGAUGUUAUAAAAUUUUCGUGCAUAAUAAGUGCAUGAAUAUUCAAAAAUUGGGAUUUUGGAUAUUUUCAUGUUGGUGGUUUAUCAUUAAUUCAAUAUCUGCAAAUUCUUUAUUUUUACUUACGGCACACGAAAAUUUUCAUAAGGUCGUAUUAUGAUAUUCUAUAUCGGAUUAGAGUAACUUGCAAAUGAAUAUUUAAGUUCCCAAAUCUGCUUCGUAUUUUUGCAAAAGAAAAGAGCGACCACUUUAAGAUAGAAUNGUGUGACAUCUUAGUCAUUACAUUUCUCUUAUACUUUUUGUCUUCUUCCGUUAUUUUAGCUAAAUUUAUUUAUUUUCUUUAAAUAUAUUAUUGGUUAUUUUUUAUAUUUAUAAUUUUAUAAAGUUAUCUAAUUAAUAAUAAAUUGUUUCAAAACAUACCCGUAGCUCUAGCAAAUCAAAAGGCCUCAAUUGAUGUUAAAGUUGAGGGGGCUAUUUCAAGCUAUAGCCAAUAGCUGAGGGGCCCUUUACAAUUUCUCCAAAAAAAAAAAAAAAACUUAUGGAAGGUAAUAAUAGCCUCACAAGGUUUGGUGCACGAGGUCUAACAAGCCCGUGCAUAAAUUGUCAUAAAGUCGGCAGCGUAGGAUCUGUCGUCACCGACUUAGCCAAAGAAACAGAAAACGCUACUGUUUUCUGCGCCGACUUUAUGUAACUAAGGCUUGCUGCAGAUCCGUGAUGGGUGUUUCGCUGCCGAUUAUUUGAGGUCAAGUUCAUAUCUGGCACCGAUUGUCCUAGCGCAAGCGGCAGGUCCUAAGUUCGAAUUCUAAUUGAUUCAUAUUUUCAACUAAGUUAUUUCUAAAAAUGAGAUAAACGAAAGGGACAGCGUGUUACCUAUCUCUCAUAAGAAAGAAAAAAGAAAAAAAACAAGAUUGAAACAAAAUAAUUGUCUCGUUGAAACAAAUAAUUGUUAGGUAAAAUUGAAUUGAGCACCCCUCAUUUGCAAGCGAUUUUGAAAUGGCCCCCUCAACUUCAAGCUUACUUUUUGGUGGAGACCACCAUAACUAUAAAUCUUUAGAAAUUAAGUGAUUUUUGUUUAAAGUAAAAAAUUAGAGCAUUCAGCAAAUUAAUUGAUGAGUUCAUCGAACGCAAAAAGUUUUAGUAAUUUUUCGACAAAUAAAUUGAAAUAAUUAAUGAUUAAUGGUUGAUAGAACUAUAAAAUUUCACAAAAUUUUUUAACUAAAAUGAUUAAAAUUUUCAAAAUUAAAAGUUAAGAAGGUCUUAAUCAAAAAGGUUGAAGUUGACGCGCUCUUGUCAAUGAGGGUCUCCAUGCAUUUUAACCUAACGUUCAGGCUAAAUCACAAAAAGUCCCCCAACAUGAUUUAUUAGACUGAUUUUUAUUUAUUUUUUUUGUAUUAAAUUACCAUUAAGUCUAAGUGCAAGAGGUUCUUCGUAAUUUAAUUUAAUUUUUAUGAAGGUUAUGUUUACGUACGUUGUCUUACUGAAAGUGCACAAGUGUGAAUAUAAUGUUAUUUUUAUAUGACAAUAAUAUUAUACAAUACCGAAUAACACGUUGAACCAGUUAGAGCUGGAACAAUUGUUUUUCUCUACAGGCCAUUUUAAAAUGCCCCUUUUUGUUCGUUCAACCUUCUUAACCUUUAAUUUUUCACACAAUUUCAUGGUUUUUAGGCGAAUAAAUUGGAAGUUGUACUAAUUCUAUUGAAAAGUUCAUCAAAUUGGUAAUUUUUAUUACUUUGUAGUAAAUGAAACUUAAUUAAUAUAUACCUGCUGAUAGCUGAAUUUAAACUAGAAUGCAUAUCUGCAACCACAUCUAGAGUUUAAUAUCUAGCCUCUUUGAUUUCGGUUAAGAUAUAUAGAAUUUAGCCCAGCAGAAAAGAAAACGUUUUUAUGCUUCGUCUAAACCUUUGAAUUUAUAAGUAAACGUUCAAUGAGAGUUAGGCUAUAUUCUAUAUAUUAUGGCUGGAAUACUUUAAAAGCACACGGCUUCAUUUUAUUUCUUAAACGUCUAUGGCUUAAUCUACUAUUUUGUGGUUGUACUUUUAUAGAUUUAGGGUUAAAAACAUGUACGUGAUAAUACUGCUUUUAAAUAAUAUUUAGCUCAACUUAUAUCUCAUAUGCCCUCCCCAUAUCUAAAGUAGUAACUAAAAGGACAAAGUGAAUUUUAAUCAAAAUCGAAUGAAACAUGCACAACAAUUGUAGACACUGAAUAUAGGCACACAUGAAUCACAAACUAAUGUGGGCCGAAGGAUAAUGCAUAAAUUAAAAUAAAAUGUUCGGAUGAGCAAAAAUUAAUCCCCAUUAACAUUGUGGAAAAGGAUAUAAAGCAGAAGAGCCAAGUCCAUCCAAUUAGUAUUUAACAAAAAUAAAGUUGAUAACUUUAGUAAGUGGCUACGCCUUUUAGUAAGUGCUGACAACGUCAAACACUAAAAGAAUUUAUUUUCUCUUAUUGGAUUCAAAUAUAAAAAAUAAAAAAUAAUAAAAAUGGGGUAGAAAUUCGCAAUUUACGUGUGAUACUAUAUUUGCCCCGAUACCUAAUUUGUAUAAAGAAAGAACAUAAAAGAUCUAAUCAUCGGUGUGAAAAUUAAAUAGCAAAAACAAAUCGAGAAAGUCGAGAAAGUAAAUAAAUAUGAUAAAAUAAGUUAGAUGGGUUCGAGACGUAUAAGGGAGUGAAGAUUUUCAUUAUUAUCAAAAUGCGUACAAAAAAAUUACUUUUCAUCGCGAUAUGUAGAAUGCAAUAGAGUAACGCAUAUAUAAAAUUGGGAAUCAAAAUUACAAACAAACGGUGAGUCAUAUUAUACAAUUAUGGCCUAAUAGAUAUGCAUAUAUAAACAAUUAAUAUUUUGAUAGGACGAUAAUAGUAAGUAAUUGCUCGUGGAAAAGGCAGGCAUAAAGGCCAAGUCAAUUCUACGUGUUGCAAAGAAAUUAAAUGGGCAAAACGUUUCGUUAUUAGUGGAGGACUCCAUCACAAGGCCCAAGGAUUUUUUUAAAUAAAGGAUAAAGUGUAUCAAUUAGCCCCUGUGGUUUCCAUAUUUUCUCAUUUUAUGAUACCUGUGAUUUAAAGUGUAUCAAGUUUCUAUACCUGGUGGUUUCAUUUUUCUUUUUUUUAUUAUCUAUUUUACUAUUUUUUUCGUUAAAUCAGUUGAUUACAAGUUAAAACUAAAAGGUACUACAAAGUAAUUCAUUCGAUAAACUUCACGAUAGGUGAGUAUCUGACGAGUUUUUUGUAAUAUAAUUUAACGAAAAUAUAACGGAGGAAAAAAAAUAGUGACAAAGUUAAAACUAAAAAGUAUUAAAGUAAAUAUUCGAUAAACCUAGGUAGAGUAUCUGAAGUUUAUGUAAUAAUUUAACGAAAUAUCAACAGAGAAGCCGACGGAAAAAAGAAAAUGAAACCACAGGGUAUUAAAUUAAUGCACUUUAAAUCACAGGGUACUAAAAUGAGAAAGUGCAAAAUCACAAGGUACUAAAUUAAUACACUUUAAAUCACAAGGUACUAAAAUGAGAAAAUGCGAAACCAUAUAGGUGGUAUUUGAAAUUUUCCCAAAAAAAAAACAAAAACAAAAACAUUCUUUUUCUUUUUUCCUUUUGGAUAAAAGGAAAUUUUACUUAUACAUUCUAAUAAUAAAAUGUAAAUCUUACACCCUCUAUUCCAAGGCUUCUAGAAAUUUAAAUAAUUUUUAGUAAAAAAAAUAAAUAAUUGAAGUGAUAAGUAAAAGUUAAUAGUCUAGUCUUUCGAUAGAAAAAGUAUAAAAUAUACAUCCCAUCGAACUCAGGACCUCCGGGUUUAAUAUCAUGUUAAAUAUACAAAAUAGUCAUUAUUCUUUAAACGCUUAAGUUGCACGAGAACAAUAUUUUUAAUAAUUAUAUUCAACAGGAGUGUACCGGCUGCAUUGUUUUUGUAUAAAUUAUAGUUUUAGUCUUAAAACUAUAAGACUGGUAACAUUUUGGUACUUAAUUUUUAGUUUGUUAUAAUUUUAAAUUUGAAUUUUUUAAAUUAUUAUAAUCAAAAUCUAUAAUCUAAUCUAAUUGACUAAAUAUUGAUAAAUUAUUGAUAUAAAAAUUUUAGUUAUAAAAUUAUUGGGAUAUAAAAUUUAUACUCUUUUUGAAUUGCAUAGAUAGCAUUAAGCCAUAUUUAGCAACAGCGCGUACGAUUAACCUUCUCACAAGACAGGUGGACCGGAGACUCCAAACUGAAUACUAUUACCGGUCCUAUUUUUUUCUUUUUUUUUUUUUGUUGCCAAAAAGUCCUUUUUAAAAUAAAUAUUUUACCUAUAAUCACACCUAAUUGAUUUUGUUGAGCUGUUUAAAGCGAUCGAUGUAGUAACUUUCCGUUAGAAAUAUGUUGAGGAAAAAGAAGUUUUAUCUUUUCUAUUUUUUUUAUGCAAUGUAAAAGUGUUCUAUUUGAUAUUGUUAUUUUUAUAUAGACUCCUGAAGAUUUUGUCGUGACAGAUAAUACGUACAGACGAUGUUGCUGAGCAGUCGUAAAAGUUUAUAAAUAUUUAAUCAAGAUUAAUAAGAUAAAUUCAUAUUAAAAAGAUGACAAAAAAGGAUUGAUAUUAUUAAUCUUAAAUGAAAUAUUACAUUAUAAAGAAGAAAUUUCACCCUAUAGAUGUAAUCACCGGCUAAGAGCCGUUCUGAUGGUGAGAGAUGUCAAUGGUUAUUUGGCCAAAAGGAGUUAGAUGAAAGCAUGUAGGUACUAGUAGCAUUGCUUUAUAGAAAUUAUCUCUUGAUCAUGUAUUUAUUGAAAUAUACUAGUAGUAUUGCUUUGUACUAGAGAUGGUACAAAUAUAUCACGAUCCCCACAACUAUACGCUAUUUUGAGAUAGAUUCUUAACUAUAUUUUAAUAUCCAAUUUUUCUGACUUUUAAUUAUUUUAAUUAAAUAAUUUUAAUUAAUCAAGAUAAAUUUUUUUAAAUUGCAGCCAAUAAUUCUAUUAAAUGUAAUAUUGAAUACUUAUUAGUAAAUAAAAUUAAAAUAAUUACUAGCUAAUAAUUAAUAGAAUUAUUAAUUUAAACAUUUUUAUUUAAUAAGUAGAAAUAACUCAACUAAAAUAAAUUAAGAUUUUGAAAAAAAAAAAUAUAUAUCAAUGAAAAGUAUAUAGCUGAGGUAGCCAUUUCAAAAAAUUUUAUAGUUGAGGGGGUAAUUAAGUCGGCACUGUAAGAUUCUACAAUUGCCCAGUCUAGCAGGGCCAACAGAGAGAGUCGUGUCUUCAAUUGCCGACUUCAUGCAUCAAAUUGUAACACAAAUGCUUUCCACCGCUCAUCACGAGAACCACAUCCAAAUUACUCAUUUUAAUGCAUUAAAAAGUUAGCUCCUCAGCGUGCUAUUCACUCUUUAUACUGUUCUAAAAAGCCCCAGGGUUCUUAUUGUGCCUUGUUUAAAAAGCUUUUCCAUAACCCUAUAUAUAUUGGCCAUGACUACUAUAUUAUUAUGAGUAUUGGAGCUCUCAUACUCAUAAGUUGUUUUCAAUGAUGGAGCUUCUGAAUCGACGAUCCAGUCCGUUAAAUAUGAUCUAGAGUAUUUGAAACUUCUAAAAAAUAAAUUUCGUAAAUUUUCGAAAUCAUAAUAAAGUCCAUCAAAUGGGCAUAAAAUGAACGGUCAAAAUCGAACGACGUUCUAAAAAAGGAUGAUCGGAUCCUUCAAUUCAAGAUCGGAGUUAUUGAUCUUUAUGUAUGUAGUGAAUAGAAUUUUCUAUCAAAAAUUCAACAAAUUCCGAUCCUUUUACACCGUUAAACUAGCAAGUAUUCCAUACCGGCCGUUAAAAAUUGUCAAAUUUGUGACCUCUUGAUCGUAAGGUAAAUGAUGUCGAAAAAUUAUAAAAUUUGAUUUCUAGAAGUUUUAAAUGCUGUAAAUAACGUUUAACGGUGUGGAUCGUCGAUUCGGAAGUUUUAUCAUCGAAAACAACUUAUGAGUACGAGGGUGAUCGUACUCAUAAUAGUAUAGUAGCCGGACCCUAUAUAUAUAUAUAUAACUGUUAUGGUACAUCUCAAGAUUAUACUUUAGAGGAAAGAAAUUUCUUUUGUAAUAAUUAGCUGUGUCCUUAAUCUUUAGCUAGCUCAACGCCUACCAUGUAAAAGGGUUUUGUUACAUGUAUGGGAAGACUAUAUACUGGAUUUAUUUGAAAUUAAGGUUUCUAAGAAAAGACUUUUUUUUGGCUUUUACUUUAUUCAAAGUACAAUUUUUGAUCCAUUUUCGUUUAUAAAGAUAGGUCUGUGGCCAAAUAUAUGACGUAAAAUAUUUAUGCACUAUAUUUUUCUCUCUCUGUUUUAAUUAUCUUUUUUUUUUUUUUUUAUGCAUAAGAAAUUUGGGUGGUUGGGCUUUUUUUAGCGAUAGCAAGUAAAUUUUUUUUUUGACUAAACAGGGAUAAACUCUAUUUUAGAGCGUGAUAGCAAUUAAAUAGUAGACCAUUGUUUUCUUAAACUUAUUUUUAUAAUGAAGCAGUUCUCUUUCUCUUCUAACUUUUAUUCUGUCAUACCGACUGUUUGUUAUAUUUGGUUUAGAUUUGUAGUUAUCUAAAUUGGAGUUAAAUCCUAAUUUAAUUGGGAUUGAAUAUAAUUUAGAUUUAAUUUGGCAUAUAUGGGUUAUGAGUCGGAAUCUAAUUUCUAAUUGAAUUAGGAUUAGACUCUAUUUAGAAGGCAUGUAUUAUAAAUACAUGCUACGGCCAAAUUAAUCGGUGCGACCAAAUUAAGAUGCCACGUUCUAAUUAAGCCAAGCAAUGCAUGUUGGUUCCAGACGAUCAAGAAGCCGCCGCCACCAAAUCAAGAAGCCAUGCACUAAUUAAAUUCAAGUUGCUUGUAGUCCGUACGGCUAAGAGGAGAGUGGCCGCGGCUCUAAUUAAGGUUGCAUAUUAGAGAGAGCCGCUAAUUAGCCGCAUGUGCUAAUUGAAGGCCAAUUUUGAUGGUCCGCACGGAUUGGUGCGAGAGAAGUUUUUUUUUCUGAAGUUUCUUGUUGCGGUGUUUCGGAUCUAAUUACGUUUUGAUCUUUUGAGAGAUUUUCUUGUACUCCGCCUUUUCGACAUUAAUAAAUUAUUUGCUCCGUCUUCGUCCGUGGACGUAGGCCGUUGGCCGAACCACGUAAAUAUCGGUGUGUUCUUUCCGCUUAUCUUUUCUUUUCUUGCAUUAAGUUAUUUUCUGGAUCUAUUUUUCGCCGUUCCGAUUUUAACACUGUUCUCAGCGCAAGUGGCAAAGAGUUUGAUGGUUGGUACCCGAUGUCCCAAGUUUGAAUCAUAGUUGAUUCACAUUUUCAGCUAAGCUUAUUUUAAACGAGGUGGAUAGCAUACUGCCUUUUCAAAAAAAGCCUCUUAUUCUGUCAUAUGCAACUUUUAAAUCCUUGUAUUACGAAGGUUAGUAAAUUAAUUCCUCACAAUACUCUUAUUAUACGAGAAGGGACGAUUUGUUCUUUUCUUUUUAAGCAUAAAUUAAUUAGCAAGCAGGAAUAUAAUGAGAACAUAAAAAGAGGUAAUGCAUGCAACACUACCCACUUUCUCAAAACCAGCAUUUCACAUUAAUACUCAAAGAAAAAAAAAAAAUCUCCCAUGAAGUAGAAAUUAUUAUUAAGCAAACCCUAUAUACAGGAGAAUCUUGUGAAAUUAUAAGAAAAACAAGAAACACACCAUACAUAAAGAUAAAUUAUAGAAAUCAGACUUCAUCCGUGCAUUUUUCUAUUCAACCUUCUCAAACUUAUUACUAUCAUCACAUAUAAUUUGUCGUAAAGCCUAUCAAUCAUUUGAAAAUAGAUGCUACUCCAAGACUCCUUGAAUAUUAAGAUACCGCACACACUCCAGAAUCCAGCCACGAACCCUAAGCCAAUGCUGAGGUAUGGCCAUGUUGACUUAGAUCCAUCAGGGUAGUCGUUCCCAACAUCAUUAGGCAUUGUUUCAUUUUCAGUACAAUUCUUCCCCGUGGGAGGUCCACAAAGAUAAGUGUUGCCAAUAUAAAUUGAAGGGUUAUCGAGUGUGCUCAAUUGAUUUCCUGUUGGAAUUCUUCCAGAUAAAUUAUUAUAAGAUAAAUUCAGGUAGUUCAAAAAUGUCAAAGCUGACAAGCUUUGUGGAAUGGCACCUUGAAGCUCAUUUAGUGAGAGGUCCAGUGAUUCUAGAGAGCGCAUGUCACCUAACCUUUCCGGAAUCAUUCCAGUUAGAUGAUUUCCCGAUAAAUUCAAACUACGCAAUAUCGCAAGUGCAACUAUCUCUUCUGGGAUUUGACCGCUUAAAUUAUUUUCCGAGAGGUCCAUAAUCUUGAGAAGAUAAAUGGUGGUAGAAUAUUGAUACUCUUCUCCAUGUAUUACCACAAGCAAGUUAUUACUGUAGUCAAAAUAUGUAAAGGUCCACUCGUCAACAGAAAAUCCUUUUCCAUCAUAACUGUGAAUUGUAUGAUAGAUCAUCGCGCUGAAAUUACCAAAAGAGCGUGGUAUUGAUCCUGUCAAAUUGUUAUGCGCAAGAUCCAAGAAUUGGAGGUAAGCGAGUCGUCCAAGUUCUGAAGGAAUUUCACCCACAAACAUAUUUGACCUCAAUUGCAAUAUUACUAGAUCCUGCAGGUUUUCACCUAUCCAUCUUGGGAUUUUCCCUGUGAGUUUGUUGUUGCUAAGGUCAAGGAACAAUAAAUUAUUGCAAUGCUGCAGUUCCAAAGGAAGUUCUCCAUAAAAAGUGUUAUUGUUGAGGUGCAAUAAUGUGAGCGAGCUCAGCGAACCAAUUGAAGGAGGAAUUUCGCCGGCAAGAUUGUUGUUCGACAAAUCCAAAACUAAAAGGGAUGAAUUGUUCCAGCAUUGAGGGAGUUCUCCUGAUAAAGAGUUGUUUGAUAGGUCCAGCACUACUAGAUAUUUUAGUUUACAUAUAUUAGAUGGGAUACUACCGUUGAUCUGAUUGCUUGAUAGUAACAGAUAAUAUAACUGUGACAUAUUCGAGAUUGGUGAGAGGAAGGGUCCUGAUAUAGAAUUUUCUGAGAGAUCUAAUGUUGCAAGCAUGGUUGGCAAAGACGGAAUUGGACCUUCAAGUUUGUUAGACCUCAAAAUAAGAGUGUCUAGGCUUGUAAAUUGCAAGGACAUGGGCAACUUGCCUCUAAUCUGAUUAUGAGAGAGAUCUAAGUAUUGAUAUGGUAAAUUCCAAAACCAUUCGGGCACAGUGUCUCUGAUCCCUGUGUUGGACAGAUUUAGAUUGUAAAUUUGCAUUUGCCAUCGAAGCCACGCUGGAAAUUGAUGAUGCGAAAAUUGACAAGAACCUAACAUAAUUCCCUCAAGUUGAAACGGAGGAAUCCACUUGUUAUCCACGUCAAUGAUCAAAGAAUUUGAGCCUAGGCUCAAGUAAUUCAAGUUUGAUAGGUUGGCAAAAUGAGCUUCAGAUAUGACACCUUGCAAGGAAUUAUAAGAGAGUUCCAAAAUUUGCAAAUUUGAGAGUCUGCCAAUUCCAGUAGGAACAGGCCCUGCUAGUGAAUUAUUGCUGAGAUCAAGAUAACUUAGAUUCUUCAUCUCCUCUAGCCAUCCAAAUAAACUCCCAUGAAGCUUGUUAUUUCCUAAUAUUAGUGUCUCCAUAUUCUUCCAUGGGCAAUGCAACGGCCCUAACUCUGCGAUGUCUCCGUCAAUGCCAGCAGAACUCAAGUCUAUUCUCACUAAAUUGCACAUAUUUUGAAUUGAUGUAGGUAUACUACCUUCAAAAUUAUUAGAGUCUAACCAUAGGGUGUUCAAAGAAGUUAAGUUUCCAAGUGAGUCCGGGAUCUUCCCAUGAAAUCCAGAAUUUCCGAGAUAAAGAUAGGAAAGCUUGGUAAGAUUCCACAGCCAAGUUGGUAGGGUGGUAUUAAAGGGACCAUUAAAGCUAAUAUCAAGAAAUUUCAGGGAUGUAAAGUUGACAUAAGAAAGAGAUGUGGGAAUUUUAGUAAGACGACAUUCCGAUAAAGACAAUUCUGUUACAGAAUGCAACAUGUUUACUACUUCCAACCAAUCUGUAGCAUUGGAUAGGUUUAGCAUGCUUAAAUCAAGAACCCUAAUAGAAGACAACUGAGAGAGCCAUGAAAGGUCACCAACACAAGGUUCGUUGAAAGCAAAAGCACCACCCAAAAGCAGAGUAUGCAGGCGAGACAGAUUACUGAACUGGGGAGGUAUUAUACAUAUAAAGCUUGAAUCAGAAAGAUCAAGAUAGCGAAGAUUAGAUAGGUUGCCAAGUUGCUCAGGUAUUUUACCACUGAAAUUAGAACCAGAGAGAUCAAGAUGCAUCAAGCUUUUCAAUGAACCGAUAAAUUUCGGAACAGAGAUUCCACCAAAAUCAUUCCAACUAAGAUCGAGGCGACUUAAAUGACUUAAAACAAGUAAAGAUGGAUUGAUCUCACCGCGCAGGGAAUAAUCCGACCAAUUGGCGUACAUAUUGUUUCGAAGGUUGAGCUUCACAACGUGGCCGGUGUUGUUGUCGCAGACCACUCCCUUCCAAGUGCUACAACAAUCCCGACCGGCCCAUGAAGACAAUCGACCGCGGGUAUCAAUAAUAGCAGCUUUGAAGGUAAGGAGUGCCUCCCUUUCGAUCUCGAAGCAGCCGCUUGUUAGGAUACAAUGAUGGCCUAAAAGCCAUACACUGAGGAGAAGUAGCACACGGUAUUGCAUGGUUAUGGUCCUCGUGACUAGUAUAUUUUACAGCUCUACACAAUGGCAGUGGCUGCUUUUAUAUAGAUCCGUGCGCAAAAUAUACGUGUAUUAAUUUAUUGCCACUAGGGUCAAUUACACCCUAUAUUUGUGCAUCUAUCUCUCUACACAGUCCUUGUCUAUGUCUACAUCUUAUUAACUAUUUCUACAACAACAUAAAAAAAAAAAAAAAAAAAAAAAUGAAGCCUAAGUGGCAAAGAGCUUAAUGGUUGGUAUCCGAAACUCAAGUUCGAAUCCUAAUUGAUUCACAUUUCUAGCCAAAUUUAUUUCUAAAUGAAAUAAACAAAGCGGGUAGCGUGCUACCUACCUCUCAAAAAAGAAAAAGAAAACUUGGAAUUUUACUGACUCUUUUUUUAUUUUUUUGAGGAAAGAAUAGCAUAUUACCUCUAUAUGGAUAACGAAAAAAAAAAGCACUACGCUACUGAUUAUAGCUGUGCGUUUAAGUCCCUGUUGAUUCGAAACUUGGACAUACAUGAAAAUAUGAAAUUGAAUUCUCUGCACGUGGAGAAUAUAUAUUGACUAAAUAUUAUAUAUGGAAUCUUGACUUAACAUAACUAUGCCUAUGUAUUUAUGGCAUAGCCCAAAAAUCCCCCCAAAAGACCAAGAAAUAUAUAUAUAAGAAGGAAUUUUGGGUGAACUUGUGGUGAGGAUCGAGAAGCAUUAACGAGGAAACGAGUAAUUUUCAAUGAUCCUAAUAAUGCAACCAGUUGGGACCCCCUGGGAGGAAAAAUGAAUACAUCGUAUAGAAGGGGCUAAAGAUCCCAAGUCAGUGAUGCGAGGGUUGAUGUAUGCAUUAUUAAUUAGCUGUACUAUAUAGAUGCACUUGUUUUAAAAUUCAAAACUAAUCUGAUAGAUGUAAUGUACAAUAUCUAAAACACUUGUACGUAAAAAUUCAUGAAUUUUGAAACUUUGUCAUCUUGGAGGUAGGUAGUCCAAGAUUCGGUAAUGCACGAAGGGAUUUUGUUAUUUGAUCCAGAGGAAACACGAAUCUAAUAAAUUUUUGAAUUCCUAUAUACAUACCGCUCUUUUAAUUUUGUAGAAUACAUUAAAUAAUUAGAUUAAGUAACUAAUUAAGAUUGAGUUUUUUAGAAGUGGCACAUGCUAUACGCUAGGUGCAGUAAUAAUUUCCUGUGACCAUAAAGGCUGUAAAAAAAGUAGUCUAUAUAUUUUAGACUAACGAAGGUAUUUUAUGCAAACAAAUCCUACGAAAGAGAAAAAAAAUAUAGAUUCGACCAGCUAGGCCCUAAUUAGAGAGAUAUUAAUUAUUAUUAUGAUAUUAAUAAUUAAAUAAUAAUUACAUAAUUAGAGAGAUAUGAAUUAGAAAGACAUUUUUUAGAAAUAUAAGUAAAUCACUUCAUAUGAAAAUAACUAUUCUAUUAAUUAUUUAUAAUAAAAUUUUUGAAAAAACAAAAGAAUCAAAAAUUUUAUAGUUAUAAGUCAUCACCUGAAAAGUGUGUUCAUACUUUGAUAACUUAUUCGAUAUCAUAAUAGACCUAGUGGACUAUAGCUAUCUCACAUUUGACUAACACAAAGACAUUCAGUCAAUAGUGUAGACUCAUCUUUAUGUGGCUAACAAAAGUAUUCAUGUUCCAAACAAAACCAUAUCAAAUAAAAAUAUGUGAUGAAAAAAAAACUUUGAUUGACCUGUUCGAUCUCGAUGUUUCAUAUAUUGAUCGUAAUUCGACGAAUGUAAAACUUCAAUUGAGGAGCUCCGCAAACGAUUUGUUGGGAGUUUUCCUGAAAGGUUACAUUUUCUCGCACAAUCAACAAAUGCCUUUAUGUAUGUUUUUAGAUACUAAAAUUUAAGAAAAGAAUUAAAAUCUAAAAAAAAUAUAAGGGUUUUGAAAUAAAAACAAAGUGAUCUAUUUAUGGUGAUCCAUAUUGGGCUCCUUAACGGCACGUCACAUUACGGAGCUUGGACUGAAGUGUCUAUCCAGGGCGAAUAUGGUGGCCAUGACUGAACUAGCGUAGGAUCAAACAGGGGGGGGGGCCGGUGAGAGUUGCACAGCAAAUUGAGACAAUCACUCACGGAACCGAUCACGGAUCUGGACCAGGAAAUGUUUGUCGAAUGGGGCUUGCAGGUUUCGAGCACGCCUGAAAUAAAGUUGCAGCAUCAGGUUGACUCUGUGAGAGCCGAAUUUCCAUCUAUGAUAAUUGAGAGUGGUCGAUCCAUGUGCAUGUUGGAGAAAACAUUGGUUUCUUUUUACCCCAAAUUGUGGAACGAAAAGGGAGUGAUUUUAAUUUUUCUUUUCUUUUUAGAGAAAAGAAAGACAUGCUACCCGCUUUUGUUUAUUUUUUAGCUGAAGAAUAUGAAUCAACUGUGGAUUUGAAUUUAAAGAACUCUCGUAACAGACCUCAAUCCUUUGCCACUUGCGGUAGAACGCUCAAUAACAAAUUUUUAAUUGAUGCACCGGGAUGAAUGAUGUUGUAGAAGCUAAGAUUGGUUGAAAUUCAGCUAUAAAACAAAAAAAACAUUAUUAAAUGUAAUAGUUUGAUUUGAGUUAUAAUAAUUAAUCAAUUUAUAGUUUUAUUAAAUUUAAUAGUUCUAUCAGCUACAUGCCUACAUACCAUUUAUUAGUUCAAUAUUAUUACUAAAAAAGGGUUUCAAAAGCUAUUAAAUUUGAUGAAUUACUAAUUAAUAAAUAUUUUACUAAAACUUUUAAUUUAAUUUGCGAAAAAUACUUAGGGCUGGUUUGGUUCACAUAUUAUAGACUUUGGAAUUGAAAUGAGAUUUAAUAAUUUUAGUACUUGUUGUUUAUUUUACAUGAAUUAGAUUUCGAUUCUCAUUCAACUCUGAAAAGAAAAUGACCUUAGCUAUUUACGAUCUAAUCCAGUUUAAAUUCUAAAUUGGCCAAUUUUAGAGUAAAGUAAAGCACUCAAUUCCUCUCUCAUAAACACCUCCUCGUUAUUUCUCUCCGUUACCCUCCUCUUCCAUAACCAAAACUCUCUCUCAAUUUUUUAGGUACUCCAAUUAUCCAUUAUGAUUUCCAUUUCAACAACAAACCAAUCAUUUUUGAAUGAUUCAUUUUUCUAUUUUUUAUUCCAAUAUAAUCUAAUUUUAUUUUCUAUUUUCAUUUCAACCAUGAAUCAAACGUGCUUGUAGUUCUAACAAAUAAGAAGACCUCAAUCAAAGUUAAAGUUGAGCGGGUUAUUUCAAACUAGCCUAUAUGUGAGGGGGCCUAUACAUUUUCUCAAAAAAAUCUUACGAGAAGGUAAUAACAGCCUCACAAGAUUUGGCGCGCGAGGUCUAAUAAGCGUGCAGAAAACGCCAUAAAGUCGGCAGCGUAAGAUGUGUCAUCGCCGACUUAGCCGAAUAAACAAAAAACACUACCCUUUUCUGCGCCGACUUUAGGUAACGUCAUGCGUUGUGGGGUGACACCGUGUUUCGCUGCAGAGUAUUUGAGAUCGAGUUCAUAGCCGGAAAAAGAGUUUUAAAUUUAAAAUUUAAAAUUUUAAUUUUUAAAUUACAAAUUUCAAGGAAAAAAAAAACUCCCUCGCCUCUCCAACAGCUGGGCCCCACCCGCACUGAGCCAACCCUACGCGCAAGCGCCCGCGCCACCUCACGCCUGCGCCCCGCACCUGCUCCUCUGCCCCUUGCUGCCACGUGGAUCCUAACUGAGAAUUUAUAUAUUUAUCAUAUAUUUAUAUAGAUAUUUAUAUAGAUGUAUCUCGCUGCAUUUUAUAAAUCACAAAUUAAUAAAAUUAUUGUAGUAUUUUACUUGUUUAUAAUUUGUAUUUUGUUGCUCUAUGAUUUUUGGAAAGUAUCACUUUAUUAUCCUAUAUAAUGAAAUAAAGCUAAAAAUUAUAUAGUAGUAGAGUAAAAUGAGGUAACCACAUGGGCCUCUUUAAAGUUUAUCCUAAAAUUAAAUAUUCGAAGUUGAGCUAUGUAAAUGAUACGAAAGUUAAAGGGCAGAAGAUACAGACAAGCUGGAAUAUAUUAAAUUUGACUAUUUAGAUAAAAUAGUUUCUCACUAUAAAAUUAUUUAGAAAUAUAAAUUAUUAAUUAAUUUUGUUAUAAUUAUGUACAUUGCAUGAAUUAGUCGCUAGUUUGAUAAAUAGUUUAAUCUAAUUAGUAAGCAUCAAUUAAUUAGAAAGCAAGAAUUGAUGAGUUGAAAAGACAAAAACAAAAGGUACAAUGGUUAUGCAACACUGCCCACUUAAUUCCUCCUCACAUGUAGUAGACAUUAGUUCUAAGCGAAACAUCAUAUGUAGGAUACAAGUUGUGAUUUACAAUGACAAAUUCCAUGCAACAUAAAAAAAAAAGAAACACCAUACAACAGGACUAGUUUACAAACUAGAAAAAUAAUAACCUGAAGAAUUUGGUCAUCAUCAUCCACGUACUCUUCUAUUCAACCUUCUCAUAUUUACUGGUAUUAUCACAUAUGUUUUAUCGAAUAACUUAUUAAUCAUCCGAAAAUAAGCAUCACUCCAAGACUUUUUGAAUAUUAGGAUUCCGCACACACCCCAUAAUCCAGUGGCAAAUCCAAGUCCCAUUGCAAGAUAUGACCAAGUUGCCUCCCUACCGAUGUUGUUGUCUCUUUUAGGAUUAGGGUUUAGUUCUUCAUUAGAACAGUUGUUUUGAGUCGGAGGCCCACAAAGAUAAUAAUUGCCGAUAUAAAUUGACGGAUCGUUAAGUGUAUCAAAUUGACCCCCCGUUGGAAUUUGCCCGGAUAAAUUGUUAUAGGCCACAUUGAAGCUGGAAAGGAAAUGCAAUCUACUCAAAGAUGGUGGUAUGGCACCUGUGAGAUGAUUGUGCGAUAAAUCCAAGCUUUCUAAGUUUGACAUGCCCGAUAAAUCAGGUAUAGUUCCUGAUAUAUCGUUGAAACUCAAAUCCAGCACAUGGAGGUUCACAAGGCUGUUAAACUCGGGCAAGAUCGACCCGACUAGCUUAUUAUUGCUCAAAAUUAUCGCCGGUCGAAAGCUGCUGUAUUGUAGAAACCGACCACUUGAAUUUCUCUGGAUCACAAUGCCGAUAUCCUGUGAUGAGUCACCGUAUGCAAGGCUCUUCAUACGCGUUAAGCUAGUAGGAAUUUCUCCAGUGAGUGAAUUAUUUGAGAUGUCCAGGUAAAAGAGAUUAUCAAGAUUCCCCAACCACGAAGGGAUAGUCCCGGUUAAAUGGUUCCCGGAAAUGAUCACAAUUUUUAAUUUGGUCAAAUUCGCCAGCCAUGGCGGGAUAGAACCGGAAAGAGCACAAUUCGCAAUGAAAAGGAGUUCCGUGUUAGCAAAUCCUUGAAUCCCAUCCGACGGCAUUAUCUCGCCACCGCGAAAGUUCUUGCCGAGCGCAAGGUGUGUAAGACUGGGCAAGCUCUGCAGGACUUGUAGUGCCGAGAAUAAGUUGGAAAAGUUGUUACCGGAGAGCCAGAGAAUGGCUAGAGAGGUGAAGUUCUUGAAGCUAGGGGGUAUUUCGCCAACGAGAUUGUUCCCAGCAAGAUUUAAGGUCUGCAUCUGCAAGCAAUUGGGAAGAUCGGGAGGGAUACGACCGGACAAGAAAUUCCAUCCGAGGAUAAGGUGCUUUAACCUCGGCAAGGCCGUAAAGUUAUGAUCGAUAAUUCCCGUAAGAGAGUUAUUCCUCAAAAGGGAAUUGUUGGAGAGAUUGAGCUGCUUCAGUUGGUCUAAACCACCCAGAGAAGAAGAGACGGAGCCCUUUAAACUCUUAUUGGAGAGAUCCAAACCAAUCACCCUCUCCACCGAAACAGAGCCCAAAUCACAGGAUAUUCCAACCCAAGUACAGCAAUUUGAAGGAGACGACCCAAUAAAGCUCCACCCAAGAUCACUCGAUUGGAGCCCCUCCACAAAGCCCUGGAGCGCAGUCAAAUCGAUCGAGUCGCAGCUUUGGGAACAGCUAAGGGGAGCAAAGAGGAGCAAGAGGAGGAGUAAGAAGAAGUAGGGGAGUCCCCUGUUUCCCAUUUCAACGAGUAUUCAGAAGAGGAGAGGGGAGCGAAGUGGGUAAAAGGAGGCUCGAGUCCCCUGUUUCCCAUUUCAACGAGUAUUCAGAAGAGGAGAGGGGAGCGAAGUGGGUAAAAGGAGGCUCCUUUAUGGGAGAGAACCGAGGAUUAGCAAAACACACUUGAGAUUUUGGGUUUGGUCCAGGAGCCUUCGGAGGAAAAGGAGAGGUGGUGGUGGUGGUGGUGAAGGAGAAGAGCUUAUAUAGUUAUAUUGUUCACAGUAAUAGAUCGAUAAUUUUUUUUUUUAUUUUCAUUGUUAUUUUUAAUUUUUUUUAAGUCUUCCUUUGAGAUCCUGCUAUUUCAUUCUGUAGUUUACUUCACCUUUUAAAUAAAUAAAAUGGUAGCAUGCAUGCUAUCUUUUCUUAAAAAAAAUUAGAGGGAGAAAUUUUUUUCCUGCUGCUUUUUUGCUUUCUCAUCUCUUUUUAUUUAUCUAUUUAUAUUGCUAAGAGGUGAUUUAAAAUGGAUUAUAUAUAUAUAUAUNCUAUUUAUAUUGCUAAGAGGUGAUUUAAAAUGGAUUAUAUAUAUAUAUAUAUAUAUAUAUAAAAGGUAAAUUUUGCUUAAAUUUUAAUAUAUUUUAAUAUUAUUCAGAUUUCUAACUUUUAAUUUACUAUUUUAUUGGCUUAAUACUUAUUUAUUAUAAUUUAAAAAAGUUAAUCAAUGUUAAGCUAUAAACAUAUUUUAUUCACCCUUCAUUUUACUAGCCUUUUCAUUCUAGCAAAAUUUCAAAUUUUCCAAAGGAAGAGGUAGAGAGUAAUUUUAAAUUGAAUUAAAGUUCAAGGAUUGUUUGUACAUUUUAACCAAUUAUCACUCAUAAUAGCUUCUUUUUCUUUUCCAUAAGCCCAACCUACCCAGCGCGUGGACAUAUACAUUUUAACCAAUUAUCACUCAUAAUAGCUCCUUCUUUUUUUUCCAUAAGCCCAACCUAUCAAGCGCACGAACAUAUAAUCUAAAAUAUAACAGUCACGAAAUGUGAGAUAAUGUCUUCAAUCAAUCAUAUUGCUCCAUUAGAGUUCGCCCAUUUUAUUAUAAUUUUUUAAAAAUAUAUUUUUAUAAUUUUUUUUUCAAAAAAAAUUAUAAUUGAGUGAAUUAGACUUCUUCUAACCAUAAGAGGCUAUAUGACAUGGACGAAAAGUGACUUUUUGGUAAACUAUUCAAGAUGUGAAAAGGUAAAGAGUUGUUCUCCCUUUUCAUUAAUCCUAUUAUUGUAACGGUCUCUGUCUAGAAUGAAGAGGUUCCGCGAGAGAGUACCCGGCUAUCCCUCGGAAAAAGUCUAAAAUAUUACAAUGGCACAACCUCGUCGGGUUGCCAACUAAUCAAAUUAUUUAUUUAAUAUUUAUCAUUUCAUUAUAAUUUUUAAAAAAAAUUAUAUUUUGAUCCCAAAUAAAAAUUUUUAAUUAAUUUGAAACAUAAAUAAUAUAGUAUUAAUAUGACAUAAAAUAUUUUUCACUGAUAAAAAAAUAUUUUUUCGGUCAAAAUAUUAUUUUUCAAAAUAUUUUAUGGGGAAACAAAAACCUCCCAAAGUAGAGAGAAUAGAAGGUACAGAAGUGGUGGAAGACUCUGAGUUCAAUGAUACCAAAAAUUAUAACAUGCACCAGGUGCAUCAGAAUGCUUAUGCAUUGUUAGUUAGAUCAGUAAUACUUGUCUUUUUUUUUCUUUUCUUUUUUUGAGAAAGAGAAAAGUAGCACGCUACCUGCUUUAUUCAUUAGAUAAAUGAAUUUAGCUACAUAGAGUGAAGCAGUUAAGACCUCGAGGACAGCGAAAAGUCAAGAAGAAGAACAAACAAGAACAAAAAGAUAACUAAAAAAAAAACUAAAAAGAGAGAAAGCAAAGUUUAAGGUAUAAGGUGAGACAGGUGGUACGAAAAAGAAUAUAACAUUUACCGAGGUCGCCCUGCUCAACAAAACUCAGCCCACACCUUCACUAAGACUCCAAUACGCUGAGCUGAAUUGAUAGCAUCAGUAGAUAAAUUUCUGAAAAUGACACUAUUUCUUUCACAUCAGAUUGUCCACCAUAAGACCGCCACGAAAAUUUGAGCUUUCAAAGAGUCAGAUCGUGAUCCCCUUCCCAGUAGCCUAUCCCACACCGUAAUACUUGUCUUGAUAGCAUCAGUAAUACUUGUCCUGAUGUUCAAAACAAAUCAGGUAUACAUAAUUUAUAACAUCUCAGAUACUUGUAUGUAAAAUUUCAUGAGUUUUGAAAACCUGUUCUCUUGGCAGAAAGUCACCCGAAAUUUGAUAAAAUGGAAAAAGAUAAUGUUGUUUAAUCACAUAUUUAAUAUUUAAAAAAUUAAUAUUUAAAAACUUUUUAUUCACAUUAAAAAGAUUAGAUUUUAAUUUUAAUGUGUAUGAUUAGAAAUACGACACUGAUAGAAAAAAUUCUAUUAUGUACCGGUCACACUAUAUAAUCUACUAAGAGUCAAUAAUAUCUUUGUUAAAAAUAUAUAUAUAAUAAAAAUAUUUUUUUAUUAAUCAUGAUAUGACGUGUGAAUUUAAAAAAAAAAUAAUAUAAUUGGUUGGUAAUACUAUAUCAAUAAUAUAAGGCCUUUUUGCAUAAAAAAUCCAUUUAUUUUGGGCUUUUGCAAAAUCGGGUCAUCUUUUUCGUUUUUGCAGAUUCGGUCUGCUUUUUCAGCAAACUGACCAAAAUACCCUUAUUACUUUUUCUCUUUCCUCUUUCUCUCUCCUCUUCGUUUCUCUCAUUCUUUUUUUUUNNNNNNNNNNNNNNNNNNNNNNNNNNNNNNNNNNNNNNNNNNNNNNNNNNNNNNNNNNNNNNNNNNNNNNNNNNNNNNNNNNNNNNNNNNNNNNNNNNNNNNNNNNNNNNNNNNNNNNNNNNNNNNNNNNNNNNNNNNNNNNNNNNNNNNNNNNNNNNNNNNNNNNNNNNNNNNNNNNNNNNNNNNNNNNNNNNNNNNNNNNNNNNNNNNNNNNNNNNNNNNNNNNNNNNNNNNNNNNNNNNNNNNNNNNNNNNNNNNNNNNNNNNNNNNNNNNNNNNNNNNNNNNNNNNNNNNNNNNNNNNNNNNNNNNNNNNNNNNNNNNNNNNNNNNNNNNNNNNNNNNNNNNNNNNNNNNNNNNNNNNNNNNNNNNNNNNNNNNNNNNNNNNNNNNNNNNNNNNNNNNNNNNNNNNNNNNNNNNNNNNNNNNAGGUAAAUAGAAUUUGACGUGAGUAAAUUCUCAUUUCUCCUCUUUGUCACGUUAUUCUCCUCUUUGUCACGUUGUUCUCCUCUUCGUCAUAUUUAUAGAGAAUUUCUACACGUCAAAUUUUAUUUUUUGUCAAGCUGGGGCAAGCGGCGCCGGCGACGGCGACGCCGCUGCCCUAGCCCGACCCCCAGGCGCCGCCUGCGCCGCAGAGCUGCAGCAGCACCCUCUUCGUCUCCGCGACCAGCCGCCGAAGACGCGCCGCCACCCUCCUCCCCAUCGCGACUGCCUCCUCUUGUGCGCGCCGCGACCACGGCCGCGGCCAACGCGAAGGCGGAGGGGGAGUACGCGGGACAGCGAACCGGAGGGGAAGAAGAAGAAGCGGCAACAGAAGAAGAGGCGUAGGUCGGGCUGGGGCAAGCGGCGCCGGCGACGGCGGCGCCGCUGCCCUAGCCCGACCCCCAGGCGCCGCCUGCGCCGCAGAGCUGCAGCAGCACCCUCUUCGUCUCCGCGACCAGCCGCCGAAGACGCGCCUGUAGUUUUUUUUCUUGUUGCACCAUUUUUUCUCUUGUUACACUGUUCUUUAUUUUAAACUACACAUCUUUAACAGAUAUUUAUACUGUUUCUCCUCUUGUUGUACUGUUUCUCCUCUUGUUGCACUGUUUCUCCUCUUUAAAGAGGAGAAACAGUGCAACAAGAGGAGAAGCAGUGUAAAUAUCUCUUAAAUGGGUGCAGUUUAAGAUAAAUGGGUGCAGUUUUUUUCUUGUUGCACCAUUUUUUCUCUUGUUACACCGUUUUUUAUUUUAAACUACACAUCUUUAACAGAUAUUUAUACUGCUUCUCCUCUUGUUGCACUGUUUCUCCUCUUUAAAUUCUCCUCUUUAAAGAGAAAAAACGGUGCAAUAAGAGGAGAAACAAUACAACAAGAGGAGAAGCAGUAUAAAUAUCUCUUAAAUGGGUGCAGUUUUUUUUCUUGUUGCACCAUUUUUUCUCUUGUUACACUAUUUUUUAUCUUAAACUACACAUCUUUAACAGAUGUUUAUACUGCUUCUCCUCUUGUUGCACUGUUUCUCCUCUUGUUGCACUGUUUCUCCUCUUUAAAGAGGAGAAACAGUGCAACAAGAGGAGAAACAGUGCAACAAGAGGAGAAGCAGUAUAAAUAUCUCUUAAAUGGGUGCAGUUUAAGAUAAAAAAUAGUGUAACAAGAGGAGAAAUGAUGCAACAAGAGGAGAAACGGUGCAACAAGAGGAGAAACAGUGCAACUUUCAUUUAAAGAGUGUAAUUUUUAUCUUAGUGGGUGCAGUUUAUAUCUGAAAGAGUGCAAUAAGAAGAGAAACAGUGUAAAUAUCUUUCAAAGAGUGUAAUUUUCAUUUAAAAAGUGUAAUUUUUAUUUUAAAGCUGCAGUUUACAUCUUAAGUAGUGCAACUUGUAAUUUUUUUGUAGUUAACGAUACAAUUUCAUCUUCAUCCUUUUUUUAUAUAAUUUUUUAUCUUUUUUUUUCUUUUUUUCUUUUUGUCACCCUCUCUGUCAAUAGCCACGGUGUCGGUAACGACGCCGCUAAAGACCCCCCACUCCGAGGCUGCAGCGCCGCAGUGAUCUCUACGGUGUCGGCGUCGGUGUCGGCGAAGAUGCAUCGUCGUCGGAGGCAGCAGAGAAGGAGGGAGAAGGAGAGAUGAGAAGGGCAGGGAAGAGCGAGAGAGGCGCCGUCGUCGGAAACUGUGGAGGAGAGUCAGAGAAGAAAAGAAAAGAAAAAUGAAAAAAAAAAAAAGUCACAGCCCGGCCUUAGGGGGAUCGGAGGCGAGGAAGGUGGGGGCGCCGGCGGCGACGCCGCUCUGUCUUCGCCGCUGUCUGGGAAGAGAAAGAAAAAAAAGAACGAGAGAAAAAAAGAGAAAAGAAAGGGUAUAAGGGCACCUCCGCUCCGUCUUCGCCGCUCUCUGGGAAGAAAAAGAAAAAAGAACGAAAGAAAAAAAAGAGGAGAGAGAAAGAGGAAAGAGAAAAAGAUAUAAGGGUAUUUUGGUCAGUUUGCUGAAAAAGCGGACCGAAUCUGCAAAAGUCAAAAAGAUGGUCCGAUUUUGCAAAAGCUCAAAAUAAGUGAAUUUUUUAUGCAAAUUGGCCAUAAUAUAACUAAUGUAUUUUAUUUUUUUUCCACGGAUAGGCGGGUUGCAAGCAAUAAUUUCUCUAAUGAUUAAUAAAAUAAAAGAGCUCAGACUAUCCAUAUAUCACUAUUGUAUUUGAAUGUGACUAACUAGGGAUAUUUCAUAAAAAAAAUAAAAUAAAAUAAAAAAUCUGAGUUGACUCAGCCUCCCUGAUUUAUCAAAUAUCGUAACUGUUAAUAGUGGGUUGAACCAAGUCCUAUGAAUAAUAGAGUAGAUUACAUAUUACAUUUUAGAUCCUCAAACUACAAGUAGCGCGACACUUUGAUCAUAAAAGUUUAAUUUAUUAUAAGUUGUUAUUUAAUUUUUUUAAUUAUUAUAAUUAACUCUCACAAUCUAAUAUAGUUAAAUAAAUAUUAGCAAAUUAUUAAUGUGAAAGUAAUAUAAUAUUUUAAUUAUUAUGGAAUCGUCAAUCACAAUACUUUUGUAUUAUUUCUAUAUCAAUAAUUUAUCAAUAUUUAAUUAUUUGAUUUAAAUUUUGAGACUUGGUUAUAAUAAUUAAAAUAUUUUGAAUAAAAAAUUAUAACAAAUUGAAGGUUGAGAACCAAAGUGUUAUCGUUCGAAUAGCCUAACGACCAAAAGUGCAAUUUACCACAACUAAUAAUUCGAGUCACAAGAGACCAAGCAAGGCUUGAGUUUUCAAUUUCUUUAGUUGGUCUGAUCAAGUUGACACAAUCCACGUCUGACCCUCUAGGGUCCGGCCGGGUCUUUUCAAUUGGGCUUGACCUUUAACUUUUAAUUCCGUUUUAUUUAAGUUUUUUUAUUCUUAAUUAAGUUAAAAAGUGUGUAAAAUUAAUAAUUAUAUUAGCCAUUAACUAUUGAUCAAUGUAGUUUUAUCAAAGUUAUUGCCUCCUUUUAUUUUUCUUUUUUUCUUUUUUCUUUUUUUUUUUUCCUGAGAGACAGAUAGCACGCUAUUAUCAACUGUUGAUGGGUAUAACUAAUUAAUUCGCUAAAAAGUGAUAAGAGUCAUUAAAUAUGGUAAUUAAACUUACUAAAAAAUUUGAGCUGAAUGGAUCGAUGAUAAUUAAAUUACACAAGACAUAUUACGAAAAGUAUGGUAAAACGCAUCCUUCUCGGAGAUCGUCGGUUAUAGCUAGGGGUGGAAUUGAGCCCGGGCCUAAACAAGGCUUUGCCUUAGCCUCUCCGAUUAGGUCUUCAUAGUGCACAAAUGAAUAAUUCACAUCAAUAUAUACAAAUGGAUGAUCAGAUAAAUUUAAAAAAAUAAUUGAAAACUCCAGCUAUAUUUAGUAUUUAUAUUAUCUAGCUUUAUAAGAAUAAUCAAAACUUAAAUAAUUUACUUAAUGUGGCCUAAGUAAUUAUAUUCAAAUCAAAAUUUUAUCAUAAAUAAAUAUAUUUUAUUAUAUUAGUUUGUGUUGUUGUAAGAAGGCAAUCAUAUAAUAAAAUUUAUUGCAAUGGUUUGCAACGAUGUUGCUUGUUGCAGAACUAAUAUUUUAUCAAUUGUUAUAAUAUUUAUUGUUACCGAAGAAUGAAUUUUUUUAGAUACAAUAGUUUCUCACCAUAAAAUUAAAUAUAAUCUAUAACUCUUAUGAAAGCCCGUGUUCUCUUUGUUCACGUGACAACAUUAGCUUAAUUUAACCUCCUGUGGGCCCCACCUGUCAUUUUAAAAUAUUAUGUUAAUUACUUAGUAGGUGGGGCCCACCCAACCAAAUUAUUUUUCCUCCCCUACUCCGCUUCCCAUUUAAUUUUUUCUGCUUCCUUCGCUCGCCCCUCUAGACGCCGCUCCCUACUCCGACUUCCUUUGUUCACCCCUCUAAACGCCGCUCCGAUUCCUGUUCCCUCUCUGGACGGAAUAAAAAAACCCUAUUUCUCUCCGCUGAUUUUUUUCAUCUCUGAUUUGGUAGCGAGCCCUCCACGGGCUUCGAUUUCACCUUCCCGGGCUUCGAUUUCACCUCUAGGAAGCGAAUCAAUCAUAAGCUUCUCGAUUACAAUCAAGAGGCCGAGCGGUUCCGAGGUGAGAAAAGGAAAAGGCUACCUCUUUUGCUAUUCAGUUGUAGAAACAUAAUUUUGCUUUGACAAUUACCUGUGGGAGAACGUUUUAGCAUGGAUUUUAUAGUUCUUUCUUUGGGUAUUUUAAUUCACCAAAUGAAUCAAUGAUUUUCAUAACAGUACAGAAGAUCCCUCCGAACUUCCUCAAACAUAUCUCAACUGAGGCGUCGAGGACAACGAAUAAUUAGAAAGAAACAUCCAAAACAGUCAUCCUCAAGGGUCCCAGCGGAAGCAAAUGGCACGUCGAUCUAGGAAAGGCCGCAAAGGGCACGUUCCUGACUAACGGAUGGCCCAAGUUUGUGAAGGACCAUUCGUUGAAGGAGUACGAGUUCUUGGUCUUUCGGUACGACGGAAGCAUGCAUUUCACUGUUAUAGUAUUCGAUAAAACCGCUUGCGAGAGAGAAGAUCUGUUUAGUAUCCGAGCGUCAGAAGCUUUCGUCGGAUAUUCACUACUCCGUCGUCAAGAAUGAAGCAAGCGAAAGCGAGUUGAUAGAGCUUCCUUCUAGCGAAAAUCGUACGCUCAAUCGGCUACAAGUUGUCCGUUCGGAUUCCAUUCAGACUAAAGCUAAAGGUGAGCAUUUUAGCUUAUUUACACGUAUCUUAGCAUGUGGAGUGUUUCGAUGUGCAAGUUUUUCUUGAUUUGUAUAGCUUCAAGGUGCAUGCAUCGAUGCACCCGUGCAUUCGUUGAUGAAUUUCAUAUUCAUGCUUUAUCUGCAAAUAUGUCUCUUUAAACAGCAUUAUUCUACUAGAGCUUUCCCAGAUUAGAGAGGCCAAGGACCAAUGCAGCUUCUAUUCAAUUAAUCUUCGAAUAGUCCAUUGUUGUUCUAUGGAUGUCGAGCUUUUCGCAUGAUUAAUGAUCAUUUCAGUUAAGAUUUGUAAUGACCCUUGAUAAAGAGGAGUGUGCGUGCUUGGUAUGUCCUAUGGAACUUUGCUUUUAAGUGAUCAGUUGUAAAUAAUAGCAUUAUUUUGUGCACCCAAUGCAAACUAAUAUGCUAUGCGUAAAGAUGUGCGACGUUCCGUGCUUUUCUAUUCUCUUUGACUCUUCUUACCCUGUUACCUUUGUCAUUAUAUAGAUACAAGUACUGAUCUGGAGACAUCGAGCUAUAUAAUUUGUUCAUCAUAUUUUGUCAGUUUAUUGAAAAGAUUAAUGCGAGAAACAUAAUUUUGCUUUGACAAUUACGUGUGGGAGAACGUUUUAGCAUGGAUCUUUAUAGUUCCUUCUUUGGGUAUUUUAAUUCACCUUACCUGAACAAGUAGGAAAUAAAGAAUGCUGGUACCACUAUCAAACAAGAGACUACAAAUAGUCACAAGCAGUGUCGAAUCAAAAUUGAGAGUAAAACUUCAGUGUCAGAUUUCAUCUCUCUCCAAGGGUUGGUUUUGCAAUUCUUUUUAUCCUUCCAUUGAGAUUUCUGAAGUAGUAUCAACUUUCUCUCCAAAGAAGAGCAAUAUUGAACUUUCAAUAGCUUCACAGCUUCACAAGGACCUAUGCAGACACUAGAGCAAACAAAAGGUGAAAGGAAAUAAAGGAAGGAAUAAAAAAAAUAAGACAUGCUAGGUGACAACUACAAAAUCCCAAAAUUCUGAGUAGCCAAUGAAUUUGUACAAAAUCCCAAAAUUCCGGCAAAUUGAAUUAAGAAAUUGUUAACAUUUACAUAUUUGCUGUCUAUCUACCAAUAAUAAUAGUUGACAAAAUCUGAAGCUAUUAUCAUCAUUUGAAUAAGUACUCAGAACUGAACAAAAUCUCUAAUUGGGAUGAUAGAUCACAGGUUUUGAGAGUCGCAAUUAAAAUAAUAAUACUUAAGGGGUCUAUUUCAAAAUAUGUAUAAUCGAGGGGUACUCAAAAAAAAAAAGAAAAGAAAAACUACACCUGGUUUCAGUUAGAUUAUUUUCCAAUUAACUUUACCCGCCCAUAGUUAAGUGUAUUCAAAUGUACUUAAUCAUAUGAUCAAUUCCAGUGCACAUAGGAUGCCAUUAGAUUAGUAAAGCACUACAGGGUCAUGGACAAUAAUCUAAACAAUUUAAUUCCAGUGUCAUAAUAAUAAUGGAAUAAUCUAAACGAAUUAAUUCCAGUGUUAUAAUAAUAAUGAAUGCAAGGAUUGGAGGAUUAGUUGACACCAUGUGCCAUAGGGGAUUAAUUAAAUGGUAAUGUGUUCCACCUAGCAAGGAUUAAAUGAAAAUGCGCUGUAACGCGUGUCUCGCAGCAUGUGGAGGCCAGCUUAAGCCAAAAGCGCUUUCAGGAUUGGCAUGCUGCAUGCAUCUUUCAACUUCUUACAUCUUUUUUGGGCAUAGAAUAUUACCUAUUACCUAAAUGGUGCGUUUGGUUCGCAUUAUGAAAGAUUACUAGGAAUAAAAGAUAUCCGAAAAUCUUAUUCCUAUUCAUCCUAUUACUAAGAAUGUGGAAUUCCUGUAUUUGGUUCGCACGGUACUAUUAAUUAGCCAUGUUAUUUAAUAUUACAAAAAAUAUACAAUUUAUUUAUUUAUUUAUUUAUUUAAUUUUAGAUAAUGUUACCAAAAGUUUCAACAUCUUUUUAGAAAAAAGGGAGAGAGAGUAUAAGUUAGAGAGAGAGAGCAUAAUUAAAGAAAUAGAAAGAAAAAUAUAGUCGAAAUUAGAAGGAGUGAGAAGUUUCAACAUCUUUUUAGAAAAAAGGAAGAGAAAGCUUAGUUUGGAGAGAGAAAAAAAAGUUGAAUUUUAGAGAGAAAAAUAAGUUUAAAGAGAGAUAUAAGGUUAAAGUGUAAGGAAAAAUAAUAUCAAUUAGCCGGCGGGUAGGAAGAAAGAAAGAGAUUAGACAUAUUAUGAUUACUCCAAUCCAUUAAUAUCAGGAUACCCACCCUCCCUCAAAAGAAUGAGAUUAGUACUUUGAGGUGAAUCUUAUUCCCAAAUGAAUCCAAUAUUACCAACUAGAUUACUUAGUGCGUUUAGCCAAACACCGUCAUAUUUUUUUAUUCACAUUGGAUUACUAGUAAUCUUUAAAAGAUAGCGCGAACCAAACGCACCCAAAAUGUAAAAACACAAUAACGUUAUGGUAAGUUAAUAUAUAUUUUCAUGUUAUUACUUCAGUAAGCAUAUUUAAAUUCUGAUUAGAUACAUUAUCUGUAUUCAUCGGACAAAUGGAUCAGGUCAUUAAAGGACCCAAUCUAUUUAAACU
rnacentral:lncRNA from 1 species